GAAGUACCCUACUAUGAAGGAGUACAUGCACCGCCUCGGUGUUUUUGCCAAGAACAUGAUCAGAGCCGCCGAGCACCAAGCUCUGGAUCCGACGGCGGUUCACGGCGUCACGCCGUUCUCGGAUCUGGAGGAGGAGGAGUUCAAGAGGAUGUACACCGGCGUAAGAGGUGCGCCCGGCUUAACCAACGGCGGAGGCGGUGCGGGAAGCACGGUUGAGCUUCUGGAUGUUAGCGGGUUGCCUGAGAGUUUUGAUUGGAGAGAAAAAGGAGCUGUUACUGAGGUCAAGAUGCAGGUAGUUAAUGUUACAGUUUCUAAUUUUCGUUUUUUUAUUAUUGUUUUUUUAGGUUGGUACUACACAAUAUAUGUGAUUAACAGUUUCGGACCGUACUUAAAUCCUAGCUUAUUGCAAAUCAAGUUAUGGCAAAUACGAUAUAGAAUUCUCGUAGCUGGUUGUAAAUUACUAAAUUGUGUAAUCUGAAGUCGAUCAGCUGAUCAGGUGCUGCUGGUUCUUUUGUUUAAUUGAUUGUAUAACUAGCUUGUGUUUGAGAGUUUGAAGUUUUGUACAGAAAGAUUUGUCUAAUGGAGCUAGGGUGUUUGUGGAACACGGAAUUUUUCUUCAGGCAAGGCGUUGUAUUGUGAUACUUAAAGCCUCUAAAUCUCUUGUUAUGGAUGCAGGGUGGCUGUGGGUCAUGCUGGGCCUUUAGCACAACAGGAGCUAUUGAAGGAGCCAAUUUCAUUGCCACUGGGAAGCUUGUUAGUCUCAGUGAACAGCAGCUUGUUGACUGUGAUCACCAGGUAAUUAAGCCUAGCCUCUCUGGAAUAUAUUGAAGUACUCAUUUAACUUUAGGGCGAUAAAAAUUUAAUUGAUUGAGCAUAUAUAUAAUAUUUGGCAUGCCUACUUAAUUAGUUUCGUUUAAUGUUUGUGGCAACUAUAAUCAAGUGUGAUGCAAAAGAGAAAGAUGCAUGUGAUCGUGGUUGUGGUGGCGGACUUAUGACAAAUGCCUACAAGUAUCUAAUGGAAAGCAGGAGGGGUUGCAAAGACGAGGUUUCAUACCCUAUACGGGGGAAAAAAGGGGCGAAAUGCAAAUUUAAUCCCUGAAAAAAGUAGCCGUGAGAGUAACCAAUUUCACCACUAUUCCCCUUGAUGAGAAUCAGAUUGCAGCGAACUUGGUCCACAAUGGUCCUCUUGCCAGUGAGUACUAAACCUGAUAAUAUGCUUAAAAAUAGCUAGGCUUUUUAUGUAUCUAUGUGUGCGUACAUAGAACUGCCUUAAGUGUCUUAUUUUCUGAAUAUGAUGUGCACUGUUUAGCAUAUUUAGAUCUGAGUGUAGAUACACCCCACUGAUACAGAAUCUUAAUUGAUGUAUGUAUGCGCAGUUGGCUUGAAUGCUAUGUUCAUGCAAACCUACAUUGGCGGUGUGUCAUGCCCUCUUGUUUGUUUCAAGAAAUGGGUGAACCACGGUGUUUUACUUGUUGGAUAUGGUGAGAGUGGCUUCUCGAUUCUCAGGCUCAGCAACAAGCCGUAUUGGAUCAUCAAGAAUUCAUGGAGCGCAAAAUGGGGAGAACAUGGUUAUUACCGACUUUGCCGAGGCCAUGGCAUGUGUGGGAUGAAUACUAUGGUGUCUGCAGUUGUGACCAGUACUCGGGCAUCCUAGCUGCAUCUCCCGAGAUUAGCUAGUAUACAAUUAUACACUAUAAUAUAUAUAUGCACCUCUCCCUUGUUUUUUCUUAAUCCGAAUUUGAUGUUCCUAUAAUCAUAUUUCAAGAAUAUUAUUGUUAAUAUGCCGAAGUGGAAAGUCUUGUUUACGUCAAAACCAAUUCGAACCAUAUUAUGUUAGCUUUAAAUGCUAGAUUGUCAGACUUCAAAUUUAAGUCGGGAAAAUUUUACAAUGUGUUAAUGUAUGUCAUGUAUUAAUUUUAUCCUAAAAUUGUAAAAUGAGUCUCUAAAAUAGUAAUAUUAGUACUCGAAGUUGUAAUAUAUAUGAGUAGUUGUAAAUUUUAUAGUUACAACAUUAGUCAUCAUGUGUCCUUAAUGUGUCUUUAAAGUAAAUUUUAUAGUUACAACAUUAGUUAUCAUGUGUACUUAAAGUGAUAAAUUGCGUGCUUAAAGUCGUAAUUGAAUCCUUAAAGUGAUUAAAAAAAGUUUUUAUAUCUUUGAGGAUUUGUAUUACAACUUUGAGGACUCAAUUACCAUUUUAAGGACACAUGAGGAUUAAUGUUGUAACUAAUUUUUUUUACAACUUUAAAGACUUAUAUUACAACUUUGAGGACUAGUUAAUAUUACUCCCGUAAAGACUCGAUCAUUUUAUAACUUGAGGACAAAGUUGAUGCAUCACAUGCAUUAACACACCAAAGUUGAUUCUCCACAAGCUUGUUGAAGAACUUGGUAGAAGUUUUGAUUUGUUGAAAGGCUUGAAGACGAGGGUUGAUCAAGGGCCGUAGAGGGUUGACGUUGAUCGAGUUUGGGCCACGAGCAGUUCCAUAUGGUGGUUGCUCUUCGUCUUGUAGUUGGUGAAGAUGUCUGCUAUUUAGCAAUUUGGGACUCUUUGGGAUUUGGCAACUUCUAAGCUUGAGAUUGAUGAAGAAUCGGCUAUUUGGCAACUUGAUGAUUCUUCAACGGUUUUGGGAGAAUUCUGAGUUCUCGGGAGUAAUUUUUUUCUCUUGUCCGGAAGUCCUUAUCUUGAUAUGAGAGGGGGUAUUUAUGGUGUCGAUGCUCCUCCGUAAAUAGAAUGCAUUAAAGUCACAACUUUAAUUGUAUUUCCUUAAUGAUAUAAUUAAAUCAAUCACUUUUGAUUGAUUGAUUCAAUUAUUCAAUUUACUAUAAUUAAAUCAAUCAAUCUUAAUUGAUCGAUUUAAUUAUGACCGAUAAGGUAUUUCACCAAUUUGAUUAAAUUCCGACUUCCUUUUCGAUAAUCGAUUUGAUUUGAUUGAUGUUUGAUUAUCGAUUGACAUUUAAUAUUUGAUUUUAGUCGGGAUUGAUGAUUUUGUUGUCGACCGACCAUUAUCAAGCCGCCAUGUGUUAUUUCCGAAGACUUUUCAACUUUGCUGACUCACGAGCCACGUAUGUAAUUUGUCAGGCCCAUGGGUUGUAUGAAUAAUUUAAUAAUUAUUAUUCUCAUUAAAUUUUAUGCGUCUACAAAUACCCCCACUUUAAGGUGUGUUGUAGUCAUGUUGUUGUCACGUGUCAGAGGUGCGACUUGAAGUUAUUUUUGAUGACACUUGUGGCGUGUUUUGCCAUCCACUCGUUUUUACGUCUGAAAUAUUGGUCCGUACCAUGAUGACAUUUUUGUUGCCUUUGAAAUUUGUAUUUUGAACGCUUGAGAAUCAUGCAUUGCGACCUUUCCAUAUGUUUAGAAUACAUGAGCAAUUUGCAUGCUUAGUGGAUAUGAUCUUCAUUUGAACAACUUCCAUACGUGGCUUUAAAUUUACCCGUCUCGCAACUAUUUUCAAUUGGUAGGAUUUGAAUGAGAGAUGAAAGCUUUUCUUUUCUUUUCUUAUCGAUUGAUGCGUGGCUGACAUUUCCUUCAUUGGUAUAAAUAAUUACCACCUUCUAAAUGAGUUUGGUCUUCUACAAGUAAGAAAUCGUGUAAUGGCUUGAUGACUUCUUGACCAAAUAGAAAAGUGAACGCAUGAUGACAUUAUAAAAUUGUACUGUAGGGUUUUGCCCUAAUCACUGUAUUCUCUUCCGUAGCUAGCCGCCCGCCCGUACUUCUUGUAAUUCUUUCUUCCUUCUUCUUUUUCUUUUUCUUUUUAUUUUUUUAUUUUACUGUAGGCCUCAGUCGUGAGUGAAGUUUGGUACGAAAAUAGGUCCAACCUUGUACCGCGAACUUGACAACGAAAUUGUGGAGGCAGGAUCAAUGCGAUGGUGCCAUGCAAUUGCGUUGUCGUAAUCCUCUCUAUUGUUUGAUUAUUGAUUUUACUAUCGCAUGCCUCCAUGCUUACUGACCCAUCCUUAUGCAUAGUGUAGUCGAUAUAUUUUUUUUCAGUUGCGGCUGAAGGGUCAUCUUUUCGGCAAGCACAGUUGAAGAAAACCCACGAGGUACGCACAGUUGAAGAAAACCUUCGAGAGACCAGAGCCUUGAGGUACUACUUUUGUUUUAGUUGAUUUUCUUAAUCCUUUGGCUUGUCCAUAUGCUUUCCGGAAGGAAACAAAGAUUGUCAAGAGUGACAACCCUCGUUUUUCAUGGUGGGUGAGCUUACUCUUUAAUCAACUUUGAUUGUCAUCUCAUUAUGCAAAGCGGCAAUUUUUUUUCUUCGCCAAGUUCGGCAGCAGCAUGGUACUAACUCUUUUUUCUAUUUUUCUUUUCAGAAUUUUGAUGGCAAAUUGAAGAACGCGAACACCUAACCGCUUGGUUUCUUUUACGUCUUGGACGUGAGAUAAACCGUUGAAAGUGUUUAGGCUUUACGUACCCUGACAGUAAUUGAAGAACAAGAACACCUAACCGCUUGAUUUAUUCCACGUUUAAGAUGUGGGAUAAAUUGCUUAAAGUGUUUAGGUUUUGCGUAGACGUAUACUAUUCCGCAUGGUGUUCUCCAAGAGUUUCAAGAAGGACACAAACAUCAUCUUUGAAGAUAUCGAGGAUAUUGAAAGUGAUGGCACCACCUCUCAUCUAAGCUCGCUCAUCUCUAACAACUUCUCGCUCAUCCUUGAUUUAACUAAUAACUUUGAGAUCAUGGGUUCAAACCUCACAGACAUAUGUAAGGUGCGUGAGUUAUUUAAUAAAAGUUUUUUUUUUUUAAAGAGCUCGCUCAUCAUGAUUUCACCUCUGUGAGCUUCGAGAAAUUUUUAAAUGCUACGGGAGGACCAUGUGGCAGUCUAACGUGGUCCUACGAUCCAAUCAAAUUUAGACAUGUGGAUUUUUUACAACUAAAAUAUAAACAAAUAUUUUCUAUUUUUUGUGAAAUGACAUUCAUGGGUAUUUAGCAAGUUCAAAUUAGGGUCUAGGGUAUAGGGUUUAAAGUUUAGGGUUAGAGUUUAGGGUAUAGGGUUUAGGGUUUAGGGUUUAGGGUUUGGGGUUUAGGGUUUAGGGCUUAGGGUUUAGUAUUAAAAAAACAACAAAAAAUCUAAAAUGGUCUUUGACAAAAUAGCUGAAAUAAUUUUUCGUAAAGAAAAUCUACAUGUCUAAAUUUGAUUGGAAAGAAGGCCCACGUCAGACUGCCACGUGGUCCUCCCGUAGCACUGAAAAAUUUCUCAUGAGCUUCAUUGACGUUUCUUCAACGUGGUGGUUGAUUCAAUUAUUUAAUUUACCAUAAUUAAAUUAAUAAUUAAAUUCAGUUUAUCUCUUUAAACUUUAAGUCGAAAAUUAGUUUGAUCCCUGAUUUUUUUUUUUUAUUUCACGUCAGUCUAUAUACUUUCACAAUUACAUCACUGUAGUCUAAAAUUUGAAUUUGGCGCUGAACAUGACUCUGUUGAUGUAGACCCGACAACAUGGCCCCAUUUUUAAGAUAUUAAAUUUUAAUUUGAACAUAAUGUCCAAACUACCCUUAUCUUCUUUUUUAGGAGAACAAAAAAUUAAUGUUGGGUGGGCUGGGUUUGAAGCCUAGACCUUAUCUUUUUUUUUUUUAAUCACGUCUGACUCUGCUGAUGUAGACCCGACAGCAUGGCCUCACUUUUAAGAUAUUAAAUUUUAAUUUGAACAUAAUGUCCAAACUACCCUUAUCUUCUUUUUUUAGGAGAACAAAAAAUUAAUGUUGGGUGGGCAGAGUUCGAAGCCUAGAGCUUGCUGUCAAAUACUAUGCUCCAAACCACUGGAGUAACUAUUGCUCAUAUACCUUUUAGUACAUCUAUAUUUAUUAGUACGAAAAAAUGAAAGGAAAAUAAUAAAUAAUAAAACUAUUUGUGAUUGUGUUCCUACCAUUCACGCCCAGACCUUUACUCCAUGCCUUCACUGAAGGUCAUAAUCCCAGAAUUUUUUUUUCUUUCAGUUUGUUUAUCCUCCUCUUCUUUUUCUUCUUUUUCCUUCAAAUCAAACUAUCAAAGAAAUCACGCUGCAAAUUCCGACCGGGAGGAUGAAGGGUGAGACGGCUUCUUCGUCGUCGGGGAAGCUAAGGAGCUUAAGGAUUGUUUCUGACGAUUCUUGAGCUUGGCAGAAGAGGGGUUUGAUAGGAAAUUCGGCAUCGAUGCGAUGGCGGAACUUCUCUGCUUUUGAGGAGCUUUGUGGCUGGAUUGGUGGGGUGGGGGGGGGGGGGGGGGGGGGAUUUGGGGGUUUGGGGUUUUCAAUGAAUUGGCUUGGUGGUCGACGGCGAUUCGGAGGUUGAAAUUGAUGGGGUGGCAUCCUCGAGGCUGCGUUCGAGGCCGGGAUCAGAGGGGUGAGGCGGAGGGACUAGGUCGUGGUCGCCUAAAGUUUAUUUUAUUUUAUUUUUUUUCCCUAGUCUCUUUAUUUCAAAAUGUCUGUUUUGUCCUUCUUAUGGGUCAUCCUGUCUGGUCCACAUCAGCAGAUGAUGUCAUGUUCGGAGUCAAAUUCAAAAUUUUAGACCACAUUGAUAUAAUUGUGAAAGUACAAGAACUGACGUGAUAAAAAAAAAUCAAGACCAAACUGAUUUUCGAACAAAAAAUUUGAGGGAGUAAACUGAAUUUAAUCCUUAAAUCAAUCAGUCUUAAUUAAUCGAUUUAAUUAUGACCGAUAAAGUAUUUCACUAAUUUGAUUAAAUUCCGACUUCAUUUUUAAUAAUCGAUUUGAUUUGAUUGAUGUCUGAUUAUCGAUUAAUGUUUAAUAUUUGAUUUUAAUUAGGAUUGAUGAUUUUGUUGUCGACCGACCAUUCACACGCCGCCACGUGACAUUUUCGAAGACUUUUCAACUUUACUGACUCACGAGCCACGUAUGCAAUUUGUCAGACCCCUGAGUUGUAUGAAUAAUUUCCGAAGACUUUUCGAUAAUCGAUUUGAUUUGAUUGAUAUCUGAUUAUUGAUUGACAUUUAAUAUUUGAUUUUAGUCGGGAUUGAUGAUUUUAUUGUCGACCGACCAUUCACACGCCGUCACGUGUCAUUUCCGAAAACUUUUCAACUUUGCUGACUCACGAGCCACAUAUGCAAUUUUUCGGGCCCCUGGGUUGUAUGAAUAAUUUAAUUGCUUCAGUUCUAUAUAUACCGCGUCCCACAUGUUUCAUCAAGUGUCAGAUAAUACAGAACCUACUUCGCCAAAAUGAAGAAAAUUGAGGUCAGUAUAAAUUCCAAACACACCAUCAAACCAUCAUCUUCCUCUACACCACUACAGCCUUACAAGCUUACCCUCCUGGACCAGCUCACUCCUCCAACGUAUGUCCCUAUGGUAUUCUUCUACCCCAUUACUGACCAUGUCUUCAAUCUUCCUCAAACCCUAGCAGACUUAAGACAAGCCCUUUCCGAGACUCUCACUUUGUACUAUCCACUCUCUGGAAGGGUCAAAAACAACCUAUACAUCGAUGAUUUUGAAGAGGGUAUCCCAUACCUUGAGGCUCGAGUGAAUUGUGACAUGACUGAUUUUCUAAGGCUUCGGAAAAUCGAGUGCCUAAAUGAGUUUGUUCCAAUAAAAACAUUUAGUAUGGAAGCAAUAUCUGAUGAGCGUUACCCCUUGCUUGGAGUUCAAGUCAACAUUUUGGACUCUGGAAUAGCAAUCGGUGUCUUCAUCUCUCACAAGCUCAUCGAUGGAAGAACGGCAUACUGUUUUCUCAAGUCCUGGGGUGCUGUUUUUCGAGGGUGUCGUGAAGAUGUCAUACAUCCUAGUCUCUCUGAAGCAGCAUUGCUUUUCCCACCGAGAGAUGACUUGCCUGAAAAGUAUGCCGGUCAGAUGGAAGGGUUAUGGUUUGCCGGAAAGAAUGUUGCUACAAGGAGAUUUGUAUUUGGUGCGAAAGUCAUAUCUUCAAUUCAAGAUGAAGCGAAGAGCGAGUCCGUGCCCAAGCCAUCACGAGUUCAGGCCGUCACUGGUUUUCUCUGGAAACAUCUAAUCGCUGCUUCUCGGGCACUAACAUCAGGUAAAAUCAGUUUAUCAACAAGCCAAAUAAUAAAGCCUAAUGUAUUUGGGGUACUUAUUUAUAUAUUUUUAUUACGUAUAUCUAGUGUACUGUGUACAUAGCUCAAAGAAUGAGAAAAUAUAUGAACUUGCAGGUACUACUUCAACAAAACUUUCUAUAGCAGCCCAGGCAGUGAACAUAAGAUCACGGAUGAACAUGGAGACGGUGUUGGAUAAUGCCACUGGAAACUUGAUGUGGUGGGCACCGGCCAUACUACAGCCAAGUCAUACAACACCAGAGAUUAGUGAUCUUAAGCUGUGUGACUUGGUUAACUUGCUCAAUGGAUCUGUCAAACAAUGUAACGGUGAUUACUUUGAGACUUUCAAGGGUAAAGAGGGAUAUGGAAGAAUGUGUGAGUAUCUAGAUUUUCAGAGGACUAUGAGUUCUAUGGAACCAGCACCAGAGAUUUAUUUAUUCUCGAGCUGGACUAAUUUUUUCAAUGCACUUGAUUUUGGAUGGGGGAGGACAUCAUGGAUUGGAGUUACGGGAAAAAUUGAAUCUGCAUUUUGCAAUUCCACAAUGUUGGUUCCAACACAAUGCGAUAAUGGAAUUGAAGCAUGGGUGAAUCUAGAAGAAGAGAAAAUGGCUAUGCUAGAACAAGAUCCCCAGUUUCUAGCGGUAGCAUCUCCAAACCCCCCAAUUUCAAGGUGUUGAUUAAAAAAGAUUAUGUGGCUCGUGCAAUGUUUCGAUUUUGUAGUGAAUAAGGUUUAAAUUAGUUCACCAGCCAAUCAAUAAGAUGCAAGUAUGAUAGACUCUGUCUACGUAUGUUAUCCGAAUGUGUUUUCGAUAUGCUUGUAACCAAUAUAGCUCUUGUUUGUAAUAAUGCUCUGUUAAGCUUCUAUCUAUAAAGUUAUUUCUCUUGAUUAAAGAAAAAACUAUACAAGUUUUGUUAAGCUUUAUUCUAUUUUUAAGAUAGGAUGUAUGUAGUACCUAUAAAGAUGGUUCACCUAUUAUUAUUUUCAAAUACAUGAUUAUCCGGUACAAUUACGUAGAAUAUUUCUAUAGCUAAAAAAAUGUAAUUUUGAUCCGUGACAACAUGAUUAAAAAAUUACAUAUUCUGAUACAUUUGUUCUCUAACGACAAGCAUGGCCAUAAUGCCUCACCUGAUCAUCUAUGUGAUGGGGUAGUGUCCUUUCUUUUUAAGAGAAGGUAGGCACCUAAUGUGAAGGCCUCUACGAGAGACUAAUAUUGUCUGAUCUUCUUUUGUUCAUCAAAUUAAAGAAACGAAAAUGGCCACAAUGCCUCACUAUUGAUAGAAGAUAGAACCAUACAAUAAUUUGGAACAUAUGCAUGGAGACAAGGAAAUAUAACACAAUAAAACCAUUAUAAUUUCACUUUAUGUGGGAAACUUGGCCAAAACCGAAUCACAUCCACGUUGGCAACAAAAAGUGACUGGAAAAAAAGAGCCCCCAAAAAGCUAAAACACUAUAAAAACCAGAAAACUUGAAUAAGCGAAAAACCAAAAGUAUGACAUUUACACACACACUCUAUCUCUCUCUCAAAGUCUGAAAACUUGCGCAAUAAGGUACCUAGCUCUCUGGUCUUUUCUUUCUAAUGCAUAUAAGUCCCUGUAAAUUUUAUGGCUUUUGGAAUGAUGAUUUUAUGCUUGUGGAUCUCAGAUGGGUUUGUUUUGUUUUGGGAUUUUUAUAAAUGAAUCCAUUGAAAAUGUUGAAAGCUUAUGCCUUUGUUCCUUGGUUCACUGUUCUGGUUUUGUAAAUUGUGUGUACGAGAGUUGAAAUGUUGGUUUUGGUAAAGAGAAAUGUUCUAUAACCAUGUAAGUUAUCUUCUAAAGUUGUUCGAGUACUGCAUAGGAAAUAACGACCUAAACUGCUAGAUGCUCUGAGAAACUUAAUUAUCCGAUUCGUUGUGAUAAAUUAAUAGAACCAUCAAUAGCCGUGAUAGUCCCUUAAUAUUUGGUGGCUAAUUAGCAAUGCAUUCAUGGUAGUUGCAUGUGCUUAUUUUGUGCAGUAUUCUAAUUCUAUCACUUGCAAAAUCGUUGUGGAAGGUCAAGAGGAGAAAACUGAAAAUGGGGCAGCAUGCAUCUCAUUUUAUUUUUUUAUGCAAUAGAGCCCUAUAUAUAAAAUAAAUAAUGUAUCUAUAACCUUCUCUAAUUAAUUUACUUAGUAAUUGACGCAAUUUGGCCGAACUGUUUCUAAACACACUAAGCUUCAGUUCUAUAUAUACCACGUACCACAUGUAUGAAUUCAUCAAGUGUCUGAUAAUACUAAACCUACUUCGACAAAAUGGAGAAAAUUGAGGUCAGUAUAAUUUCCAAACACACCAUCAAACCAUCAGCUUCCACUCCACGACUUCAGCCUUACAAGCUUACCCUCCUGGACCAGCUCACUCCUGCAAUGUAUGUCCCCAUGGUAUUCUUCUACCCCAUUACUGAUCCUGUCUUCAAUCUUCCUCAAACCCUAGCUGACUUAAGACAAGCCCUUUCCGAGACUCUCACUUUGUACUAUCCACUCUCUGGAAGGGUAAAAAACAACCUAUACAUCGAUGAUUUUGAAGAGGGUGUCCCAUACCUUGAGGCUCGAGUGAAUUGUGACAUAACUGAUUUCCUAAUGCUUCGGAAAAUCGAGUGCCUAAAUGAGUUUGUUCCAAUAAAAACAUUUAGUAUGGAAGCAAUAUCUGAUGAGCGUUACCCUUUGCUUGGAGUUCAAGUCAACAUUUUCGACUCUGGAAUAGCAAUCGGUGUCUCCGGCUCUCACAAGCUCAUUGAUGGAAGAACGGCAGACUGUUUUCUCAAGUCCUGGGGUGCUGUUUUUCGAGGGUGUCGUGAAGAUAUCAUACAUCCUUGUCUCUCUGAAGCAGCAUUGCUUUUCCCACCGAGAGAUGACCUGCCUGAAAAGUAUAUAGCUUUGAUGGAAGGGUUACGGUUUGCCGGAAAAAAAGUUUCUACGAGGAGAUUCGUAUUUGAUGCGAAAACCAUAUCUGCAAUUCAAGAUGAAGCGAAGAGCGAGUCCGUGCCCAAGCCAUCACGAGUUCAGGCCGUCACUGGUUUUCUCUGGAAACAUCUAAUCGUUGCUUCUCGGGCACUAACAUCAGGUAAAAUUAGUUUAUCAACAAGCCAAAUAAUAAAGCCUAAUGUAUUUGGGGUACUUAUUUAUAUAUUUUUAUUACGUAUAGCUAGUGUACUGUGUACAUAGCUCAAAGAAUGAGAAAAUAUAUGAACUUGCAGGUACUACUUCAACAAAACUUUCUAUAGCAGCCCAGGCAGUGAACAUAAGAUCACGGAUGAACAUGGAGACGGUGUUGGAUAAUGCCACUGGAAACUUGAUGUGGUGGGCACCGGCCAUACUAGAGCUAAGUCAUACAACACCAGAGAUUAGUGAUCUUAAGCUGUGUGACUUGGUUAACUUGCUCAAUGGAUCUGUCAAACAAUGUAACGAUGAUUACUUUGAGACUUUCAAGGGUAAAGAGGGAUAUGAAAGCAUGUGUGAGUAUCUAGAUUUUCAGAGGAUUAUGAGUUCUAUAGAACCAACACCAGAGAUUUAUACAUUCUCGAGCUGGACCAGUUUUUUCAACCAACUUGAUUUUGGAUGGGGGAGGUCAUCUUGGAUUGGAGUUACAGGAAAAAUUGAAUCUGCAUAUUGCAAUUCCACAGUGUUGGUUCCAACACAAUGCGAUACUGGAAUUGAAGCGUGGGUAAGUCUAGAAGAAGAGAAAAUGGCUACGCUAAAACAAGAUCCCCAGUUUCUAGCGGCAGCAUCUCCAAACCCCCCAGUUUCAAGGUGUUGAUUAAAAAAGAUUAUGUGGCUCGUGCAAUGUUUCUAUUUUGCAGUGAAUAAGGUUUAAAUUAGUUCACCCGUCGAUCAAUAAGAUGCAAGUAUGAUAGAUAUGUUAUUCGAAUGUGUUUCGAUAUGGUUGUAACCAAUUAAUAUAGCUCUUGUUUGUAACAAUGCUCUAUUAAGCUUCUAUCUAUAAAGUUAUUUCUCUAUUAAAAAAAAAACUAUGGAAGUGUUACCAAGCUUUGUUCUGUUUCAAAGGUAAGAUGCAUAUACUACCCGAAAAUAAUGUUCACCUAUCAUAAUUCUUCCACAUGAAAACCCGGUAAGAAUCACAUAAAAUAUUUCUAAUACUUUAGAAUCUAAUUUGGGUUUGUGACAACAUAAUUGAAGAGGUACAUAUUCUGAUACAUUCGUUAUUUAACGACAAGCAUGUACAUAAUACCUAACCUAGGAGGAGGGUGUACGUAGUGUUCUCUCUCCUUAAGAAGGCCUGCCUUUCGCGAAGGCCUCUUUCAAAGGACUGAUAUAAUAUAAUCUUCUUCUUUUUUUAAUCAAAAGAAACGAAAAUGGCUUCAUUGUUCAUAAUUUGGAAUAUAUGGUGGAUUGUACGGUGUUGUUUUGAGGGAGCUUCUCUCUCGGGUCAAGGGUUUCCAAUGGAUUUGUGCAAUGAGAUUUGAUUGGCAACAGUUAUUCGGGCAUCAACGCUCCAAUUUAGCACUCCUCAGUCCUCACUACCUCAUUGUUGUUGACGAUGGCGAUGACGACAUUAGCGAGCAUGGGUGAUGUGUGUGGCAUAUUUGUUUGUAUUGUUGCAUUAUUGCUUUCGGAUGUAAGGGCUUCGCCCUAUAGAUUAGCGAGCAAUUGGUCUCCUCUCAUUCUUUCUACCUUGAUCGAGUUGGAGAUCCAUGCACUUUAUUUGUAGUACUUUUUUUGGCCUCGCGUUUGCAAGCUUUGAAAUUCCCGUGAUUAAGGAAUUAUUCAUUUUUUACAAAAAAAAAGAAGAAGAUUUUUUCCUGAAAAAUAACACAACAACCAUCAUAAUUUCACUUUAUGUGGGAAAUUUAGCCAAAUCCGAAUCACAUCCACGUCGGCAACAGAGAGUGACUUGAAAGAAGUGCACCCAGAAAGCUAAAAAACCAUAAAAACUAGAAAACUUGAAUAAGGAAAAACUAAAGUAUGACAUUCCAAUCUAUUGUUUUAUGGUUUUUGAAGGAUUCAAAUUUGUCAACCACUUUUUACUUGACCACCUUAAUGACCACUAUCUAGAUUGGUGAUACGUGUCUUUUCAAAUUAUUUUACUUUAUUGUUUUAUUGUUGAUAAAAAAAAUAAACAUGUGUCACCAAUCUAAAUAGUGGUCAUUGAGAUGAUCAAGUAAAAGUGGUUGACAAAUUUGAAUCCAUUUCUUAUUGCGGUUUUGUUCUGCCAAAUCCAAAUCCCAUGACCCAAUCAUUUACACUCCCUCUCAAUCUCUGCAAAACUGACUGCUUCCCUUGAAAACGUGCGCAAUAAGGUACCUAGCUCUCUGCCCUUUUCCUUGUAAUGCAUUCAAGUCCCUGUAAAUUUUGUGGUUUUUGGUAAUGAUUUUAUGCUUGUGGAUCUCAAAUGGGUUUGGGUUUGUUUUGUUUUGGGAUUUUUAUAAAUGAAUGCAUUGGAAAUGUUAAAGCUUAUGCGUUUGUUCCAUGAUUCAGUGUUCUGCAAUUUGUGCCUUCUCUUCCGGAUCUGAUGUACGUGAUGUUCUAGCUAGUUGUCUUUUGGAUUGAAAAGAUAUUAUCUUUUGAUUGUUUUUGAUAGAACAUCAACAUCAAUCAUCAAUGAGAUGAAUCUGAAGUAGGUUAUUAGUUUGGAGAUAUGUUAAUGGUUAAUGAAUCAAGCUGAAGUUGUUCUGGUUAUUGGAGCAAUAGGUUCCAUACUGAAGCAUCUAAUUUUGAAUUUGCAAAGAGUGGUUGACGAGUUAUCCUUGGGAUUGGCGGGUGACAUUGAAAAAGUCUUGGUUUUGUGUAUAAGAGUUGAAAUGUGAUUUCUUUACUGUUACCAUGAUGUGGGUUCUACUAAAAGACUCGUUCUUGAAUCUGGGGUCAUGUCCUGUGAUGACUCAAUUCUUGCAAAACACAACUGAGAUGUGUCAAAAUGGGUUCGGGAGCGUCUUUAUAUAUCGAAGUAUCAUGAGUUUCGAUACUAAGUGAGGGUGCUGGAUAGAAUUGAGUUUGGAGGUUCAAUGCUUCAAAAACAAAGAAGCUAGAGGGAACGUAAUUCUUGAUGAUUCAAGACGGAUCAAUGACCUUGUAAUUAAGUUGCUUAUGUGCAAUUGUUGAGCUUAUGGUGUUUCCAGUUUGGAUACGGAUAGCUAUUUCUGUUUUCAGUAUAACCACCAUGUGUUGCAUCCUCUUACUCUUCAUCUUCAUUUACCUAUCUUUGAUCUGAUGUUCCAUUGGCAGAGCUCCCUUAUGCUAAACUGUAAAACCUGCAUUCCAGGUGGUCAUUCUGUUAGAACUUUGGAAGGUCUCGGAAAGGAAACACUCGUCGACAAAUUUUGGGAGCAGUUGCAUAAAAGGAAUGGUCUCCCAACUCGGAGAUAAUGGAGACGCGUACUGGAAAUUCCCGUCCCAAUAAAAAGCAAUCGUCGGAGAAGUCUAAAUCUGCCACUGAAGAGAAAAGGCCUGCAGAAAAGAAGCAAACACUUCUGUGUUUGUCAACUAUGGUAAGUUCAUUAGAUAGUAAGUACUGAGUUUUCUAACAUCGGUGUAACACCAUGCAACUAACUCAGUACUGUAGAAUAGACAUCUAUGUUAGUCUCUUUAGAUAAUAUGCACACUUUAACUUUUCAAAUGACGUCCUGCAUUAGUUAGUCAACUGUUCAAAAUCUCGUAGGUUACAAUUUUCCCAUCUCCAAAACCAAGUGUCCAUAAUCUUUUUCCCUCUUUGUUCACUAAACUAGUAAACUCCUCGUUUAGAUUAAUGUUCUAAAUCUUUUAGUUUUUGUUCCAUCUUGACAUAACUUGUGGCUCAUUACCUACGUUGCAUGGAAUCGGAAGCGGAAACGUGGAAGCGAAGCGUUUGGAAGCGCGGAAGCGAUUUUUUUGAAAAUAAUUUGGAAGCGAAAGCGUUUUAGAAAUGUGAGAAUCAAAAUAAUAUAUACAAAUAACAAAUAUAUAUCACCUAAUUUUAAUUUCAUUCAUUUAUUUUAAUCGUUAAUUUUAAUAAGUUGUACAAAUUAGUUUGAUUGUUUAGCAGAUAACAACUCAUUCUUAAAAAAAAAAGAUAUCACUAAACCUUAUAAAAAUAAACUUCUUCACUAAAAAAAAGUCCACCAUGAAAUAUUGAAAGCACACGUCUCUCUAAUCUCUACACCUUUUAAUCUUCUUUCUUCACCUCUCUAUGCUCUCUCACCCUCCAGGUUGCCGUCAUCUUCUUUAACUUCAUUCUCUCUCACUCCUCUCCCUCCCUCCAGUUUCAAAUCCUUUCUUAACAGGUCCUCAAGCAGAAGAUCUGAUUGAUUAUAGAUUUCGAAAGAGAUAGAGAGAAGAUUGAUGUGCCGCUGAAUCAGUUCUCGUGCAGUGGACCAUCGCGCUUCCAAAUCAAAAUCGUGAGCUUCCAUAUUGGAAGCAUGCGCUUCCGUCGUGCUUCCAAAACCCUCUUUUCCCGGAAUCACGAUUCCGGGCGCUUCCGAGCGCUUCCACGGCGUUUCCGCUUCGCUUCCGCUUCGGAAGCGGGCGAGUGGCCCGGCGCUUCCGUGCUUCCUAGCUCAUUACUGCCCUGUAAACCAACUACGGCCGAGUUGUACCAAAAGGAAAUUCGGCCUCUCAUCAAUGAGUAAAGGUUUUUUUUUUUUUUUUCUUCCUUUUGUGGGGGAAGAAGAAGUAUGCAAUAAUUUUGGAAGUAACAUAUCCCCUAUCACCAUUCCUUGCAACAAGCAAUUACUUCUGGCAUUUUGUGGUUGAUGUUGAUCAUUUUGUAACUUUUGUUCUUUCAUGAUAAUAAAGCUAAUUUCUCAUGUAGCUGCAAUUGCUUGGCAUGAGAGUAGAAGAAAGUGGAUAGGGGAUCAGCGGCUGCAAAGAAUGGCCAAGGAUCCAAUUAUAAGGUAUUUUUUCCUCACAAAGGUUCCUGGAUAGAAUGGGGUUAGCAAGUCAUGGUUAAAGAGUUGCACCUUAAAGUUUAAUAACAAAAGAAAAGUUGGAGAGCAUAACUGCCAUAACUUAUAUUCUUUGUAGGUACAAAUGAACUCAUUAACACUGGUGUGUCAGUUUUUAGGAAAUUACACUUAUAUUUGAGUAUCUGUCACUCUGUCCACUACUUGCACCCUGACUUGCUGAUCUGUAAAUCCUAGAUUUUUCAAAAUUGCUCCUUUAGUCCUUUUGUUUGGUGUGUGUCCAUAUUAGUAGCUUUGUCCAUUUAUGCUGUUAAAUUGUAGCUGCUAUAUGAAUGUCAGGAAGUUAAAUGUGAAAACUAUAUGCUGCAUAUUAUAGCACCAUUGUAAUGAUUGAUGAUAUUAGUGUCUUUGUCCAAUUAUUUUCUGUUCAAUUAUUGCUACUUCUUGAAGAUAAUGUGGAAAGUUUAUGUUUCAGCUGGUCAACAGCCUAUGAGGAUCUACUCUCAACCAAUGAGUGUUUUUCUGAGCCGAUCCCCUUAACUGUAAGUCGAUCAUAUAAUAGCACAUACCUGUCCAAUAAAUAUCUUCUGAUAAGUCAUAUAUCUCUAUUACUUGUGUUUAUUUGACAUUGGAAAUAUUUUCUAAAGUUUGAUGUUUUUAUAAAAUUGGUUUUAAGCAUGUUUUCAUACUGGAGCUCCACUUUAUGUUUUCAAAAGUCAUGGGUAGUUUUCUUGAGCAGCGAGGACGAAAACUCAUCCCUACAACAGUUUGUGGAUGCAUGUAUUGUGCACUGGGACAAGAUAAUGGCGAGGAGUUGGGUGUGCAUGUUUGUGAUCGGUAAUUUAUUUUCUAUGCUUACAUGUUUAUUUUUAGACUCAAGUUACAUGUUUAAAUUGUAUUCUGUUGGCCUUGUUAUAAUCUCAUCCGUGAUUCUAUUAAUGAAGCUUGUUAAUUACUGGCCAUUCCUUAUAUCAAGUUUUAUACGAACAUAAGAGUCUAAUCCUGAUAUGAUUUUGUCUUGUGAGACUCUCAUUGCAAUUUGUAUUCUUUUGAGUUCAUUAUUUCUUAACGUUUAUUGUGUUAGGUUUUAGACGAAUGACUUUACCUUAAGCAAAUUAAAUAUUUUUCUUUUACAUACACCUCAAAUAGUUUUACGCUUCCGUGGUGUUUGCUUAAAUGAUUUCUUAAAUAAACUGUCUUGCGUUUCUCUUGGUUUUUAUUUUAGAGACAUGCGGCACUGUGACGUGUCUAAACUAAGGAGGCGUAGUUUGGGGCGUUACAGAUUUAAUCUUUACACACUAUGAGAAUAUCAAAAUAUCACGAUAUUUGUGCAAAACUCACGAAAUCUUGUUAUUAAAUCAGCCGAAGUCAUCAUAUAUAGUCAUUAACUCGGGCCAAACUUAUAAAAUUAACACUAAAGUCUUGGCGCAGCUAACAUGAUUUGAACCCAGGUUGCCACAUGUUUGUAACAUCCUGAAAUUUCAAAUUUUUAUUUUUAAAAGGAAAGUUAUUUUUAUUUCGAUUUCUAUUAUUCUUUUAAAUUCUUUAUAGUUUUUGAAAAUUAUUCAAAUUUUGUUUUUGGAGCCCAUCGGAUUAAACUAGAGGCCGUGAUGAAUUUGUGGGAUUUUUCGGAACACCGUUUGGAUAUCGGAUAUAUUUUUAAUGAUUUUUAGAAGUUGGUAUUAUCUAAAAAUUUAAUUAAAAAUAGAAAAUCAAGGUCGGUCAAAUUUGGUCCGUCCAGAUUAUAUGGGUAUGGAUCAACUUGGACUUCAUUAUACCCAGUCCCAGACCGACUCCGUCUCCAGCCUCUAUCAGCGACGGAGACCUCCGGUCACUCCUCCGUUGUCCGGCCGUCUCCCGCCGCAAAACGACUGUCUACAGCUCUGUCUCGACGUCCCCGACCUCCCUGGGAUUCCAGCUUGAUGAGUGGAGCUCCGGAAAAGGAGGAGAGAAGGCGACUGUGUUUCCGAUCGGGUUUCCGAUUCCGGUGACGGCGGCGAGCGUGAAUGGUACUGGAAGCAUCCUCUCGUCCUCGUGGUCUUCCCUAUGUCCUCAGUUUCUUCAGAAGAGGUCGGGAGAGAGAGAUUCGAAGUGGAGAAGGAGAGGCUGGGUUCGCCGGCGAGUUUCCGAUUCCGGCCAAGUCGAGGUUUCUCACUGGUAUGAAUAGCUUCAUGUCGGUCUCGGGAACCUUUCCAUGUUGGUGGUUUUCGAAGAGAAGCUCGGAGGAGGGAGAAUCGAAGAGGAGAAGUUUCUGAAUUUUCCGGCGAGGGUUCGACGGAUUCCGGUGAAGCUUGAUGUCGACUCAGGUAUUAAAGUUGGUCUAUUCGAUGAGCUUUACAUGUUUCUAUAAUUGAAAUUGAGAUUGGUUGGGUGUUGGAGAAGUGGGAUUUUGGACAGGUUGUCGACCACCGUGUACGGCGGCGGCGGCGGUUGUUCUUGUAGUUUCUGGCUUUUGUUAAUACAUUGAUUGUGGAGGAGUGUUUUGAGAUGUAUUAGAAUUGCAGGAACAUGAGAAUUGUAUGAAGUUGGGUUUUGAGCAGUGUGGUGUGUGGCCACUGUUCACGGCGGCUAUGGUGGUGUUUUGAAAUCAGAAGACUUGUGUGAGGGAGAGGUUGAAGAUGUGUAUUAUGUUUGGUAUGAGUGUUCAUUCAAUUGGCUUUGGUAUUUGAGAGCAGGGUGCUACGAAUAUCUUGGUUUUGUGAUCAAAGUUGAAGUAAAGCAUAUAUGUUUGUAUGGUUGUGAGAUAUGGUGGUAACUGCAGCAAUGGAUAGUUGAUCAAGGUUCACAUGAUCUUGGAACAAAUGUCCAGUCGAUAACUUUAAGAUGUAAUUGGUAUUGCUAUGCUUGAACAAUUGUGUUUCGGUGGAUUGAAGAUUUGCCGGAAGGUGUGUAGUAAGAUGGGUGUCCAAAGUAAUUGAUGGAGACUGGUGUGUUCUCUUUUGAAUUAUUGUUAGAGAAAGAUGAUUAGAGGAGUUGGGUGUAAUGAACGUUAAGUUGGCUUUGCUGGGUUGUUGUGGAGUCUUAAGAGCAGUAUGGGUACGGGAACAGAAGAAUUGGAUUUUCAUUACUUUCAUAUGGAUUUGAUGUGUUGCUGGGGAGUAGGAAACAGUAAAGGAUUUAGGUUUGGUCAUGUCUGGGUUCGUUGAUAAGUUGUUAUGCCUACAAUUAAGACAUGAGAAGAUUGAUCAAGUUUGAGAUAGGCAAAUAUAAAGGAUUUAGUAGAAAAGAGGAAUUGGGUGUAGAGAGUAAAUUCGGUGCUUAGCUUGGUGCUUGGAGCAUGGUUGGGAUACGACUAAUUAUGGGUGGCGUGUGAUUUGGUAAUUGUCGGAAAAGGUGAGCGGAAUUGGAAAUAAAGAUUUUGAUCGUUUCUAAUUAAAGUGUUUGCCGACUUUAUUGGAACAAGGAUUUGAUGUGAGGGAGCAUGUUGCAAUCCGAGGAGCAGAAUGAUAAGGAUUUCAAAAUGCGUGCCGCGGUGUUAUUAAUUUUAGUAAGCGUCGGAGUCAAGGCUUGGAUUCCAGGUAGGGUCUCUCUCAGGGAACUUUUCUUUAAAUUGAUAAUUAGGUUAUUGUUGAAAUCGGUGCAUUGUGUGGCAUUGGUUGAUAUAACUCUUGGUUGUUAUCGAUUUUGUUAAAAGCAUGUGAUAUCGUUGAUUUAUAUGAAAUUAAUGUUAUUGCUUUCCGUAAAAGCAUGAGUUGAAUGUUAUGAUAUGAGUAUUGAUAUUCAAUUGACAUGCAUAAUGCAUUGUGAGGAAUUGUGAGAAGUGAGAUUGGUGAUUCUGGAGAUGAGAAAGAGAUUGAUAGAAUAGAUACAUUUUGUGUAGUUGAGUUUCCUCAUGGGUUGUCCAAGAUCCAGGGUAGUCCACACGUGCAUAAGUUCAGGGAAUGUAUGCCAUUUCGAUGGCGGACAUCGACAAAACAAUUUUAUCGGGUUUCGGGUUUGGAGACCAUGAGUAUAACAAGAUGAUUAACAAUAGAGGUACAAGCCAUAAGAUAUUACUGAUUAUUAGAUCAUAUAUUUGAGACAUUUGUGUCACCCCCGGUUGGUAAAAUACACGGUAUGGGACGUGUAGGCUCACAUAUCUUUGAUGUAUGGACUGAUAGCCAGUAAUUGAGGAAGACAUUCAUUAGCAUACAUGUAUCAAAUUGUCGUUAUUUAUUUAAAGUAUUAUUUGAUGUUUGAUAACUUGUUUGUGCGAUGUAGUUAAUUAUAACUUAAAAAGGUUUGGCUCUUUGGCCCUACUAAGCGUAAGCUCACCCCUAUAAACUUUUGUUCAGGUACGUUUGAGGACACGUUUUUCUAGAAGCGUAACUGUGAAGUUUAGCUGACGUGUACGAGAGUAGAAGAGUUACAGAAGAUUAGAAGUCAGAUAGAUCGUAAGGGCUUAUCUUUUUGUCUUUGUAAUUGUUUUUUGUUAUUGUAAACGUUUUAUUUUCUUUUAUUUCUGGAAAAGUAUUUGAAAUUGUUUUAUUUUCUUUUACUUUUCCCGCUCAUGUCUCGGGUACGGCGUCAGGUGCUUGGAAACCACCGACACCGGGUCCGGGGUUUGAUGUAUGGACUAGCCAGUAAUUGAGGAAGACAUUCAUUAGCAUACAUGUAUCAAAUUGUCGUUAUUUAUUUAAAGUAUUAUUUGAUGUUUGAUCACUUGUUUGUGCGAUGUAGUUAAGUAUAACCUAAAAAGGUUUGGCUCUACUGAGUGUAAGCUCAUCCCUAUAGAUUUUUGUUUAGGUACGUUUGAGGAUACGUAUUUCUAGAAGCGUAACUGUGAAGUUUAGCUGACGUGUACGAGAGUAAAAGAGUUACGGAAGAUUAGAAGUCAGAUAGAUUGUAAGGGCUCAUCUUUUUGUCUUUGUAAUUGUUUUUUGUUAUUGUAAACGUUUUAUUUUCUUUUAUUUCUGGAAAAGUAUUUGAAAUUGUUUUAUUUUCUUUUAUUUUUUCCGCUCACGUCUUGGGUACGGCAUCAGGUGCUUGGAAAUCACCGACACCGGAUCCGGGGUGUGACAAUGGUAUAUCUCACAUUCUCAACCAAUCCUCCUAAGGUGAUACUUGAUUACUACAUUGAACAUUUUAUUAUAAACUCUACAUAUAUUUUCAUACUUUUAAAAUUUCUUUUCGAAAUUUUAUUAAUAUUGAUAUUUUCUAAUAUUUUUAUCAAAAUAUCUAUUUUUCAGAUAGUCAAAAUUUUCUUGAAACGUGAUAUUUUUGUAAUAUAUCGAAAUUUCAAAUUUUUAUUUUUAAAAGAAAAAUUAUUUCCGAGCUAUUUUUAUUUCGAUUUCUAUUAUUUCUUUCAAUUCUUUGUAGCUUUCGAAAAUUAUUUCAAUUUUUAGUUUGUCAAAAUUUAUCUUUUGAGUCCAUAGGAUUAACGGAAGCGUUUUCGGACAUCGGAGCUAUUUUUAAUAAUUUUUAGAAGUUAAUAUCGUCUAAAAAAAAAAUAUUUUUAAACCCGCUUGAUCUGGACCGUUGGAUCAUUUAAACCGCAAGAUCUGGGCUGGGGGAGACUGGAUCAGAUCAGUUCAGACCCAGACUGGGUCAGCCUCGAUCCAAAUAGCAGCGACGGGUGACCGGACUGCCGCUUUGUCCUCCAGCGACGGCGUGGGGAAAUCAUGGCAGCUUCGGCUUCGUCUCGGUCGCCUGAUCCUAUCUGUGGUCUCGAUUUCGUCGAUGGAGCUUCGAUGAGAGAGAAUCGAAGAAGGGUAGCUUUUUCUGGGUUUGUCGACGAGUUUACUAUUUCAGCCACGGCGGCGAGCAUGAUCGGUCUUGGUAGCUUCACCUCGACCUGUUGAACAUUUCUUUGAAGAGAAGGUCGGAGGAGGGAGAAUCGAAGAGAAGAAGUUUUUAGGUUUUAGGCAGUGUUCUUGGUGUUUUCCGGCGACCUCGGACUUCAAUUCAGGUAUCAAAGUUGGUCGACUCGUCAAGCCCUACAUCUCUAUAUAAUUGGUUUUCAUUUUUGAUUAAGUUUUGAAGAAUCGAAGUUUUGGGGUUUUACUGUGCAAUUUGAGUUUUCCUGUUUGUGUGGUGAUUUUGGUUGCCUUGGGGCGUUCUUCGAUUGGAAUUGACUUUAUGAAGUUGAUUUGAUGAUCUUAAGCCCUUGAAUUACAUAAUUGGAAAAGUUGGGUUUUGGGGCAGUGUUGUUCGGCGAUGGAAGUGGUGGUUGAUGGUUCUGGGUUUGGUUUAUGUUUUAGAUGAAAUUACAAGAGCAUUAGAACUUAAUUAUGUUGUUGUGUCGCCUGGAUUCCAUAAACGGAGAAGUUGAGUGUAAGAAAAUUAGAGUUAUGCAAUUUGGAAUUGAGCUAAGAUUGGAGUAGAUGAUAGUAUCGGGUUUUCUGCUGAUUUUGGUUUAUUGUUUGUGGUGGUGACUGCAGUAUUCUUGUUCCAUUUCCAAUCAUAUGAAAGUGCAGGAACAUGAAUUUGGAUGCUUGAUUGGUAAAAGAUGAGUUUUGGGUGGUAGGAAAUGGAGCUGUGUUAUUGGAAUAGGGAGGGGAAGAUGGUUGUGUAUAGUACUAAUACUGAACUUGGCGGAGUUGAAGGAUGCAACUAAGAACUGUUGAUUUGCGAUAUGGAACUAGGAGCUUGAUUUCAAAUGGAGAAAGUGAGUAUUGGCAAGUGCAGGAGUAGGACAACUUGAGAAGUAUAAAUUGGCUAAAGAGCUUAUGGGUGUCCUUAUCAAUUUCAAAGACUGGAUUGCAUCGACUUGAAAUCAUCAGAGUGAAUAAAUGCGGAUUAAGGAACUCAUCUGGGUGUCUUAGUAGAUUUAUGAAUUCGGUCCGGUUGACUUAAAGUGACUUAAAUUUGGCUUAAAGUGAGUUUUGCGGAUUAAGGAUUCAGGGUGUCCUUAGUAAUUUUAAGAACAUGAUCAAUUUUGGAAAUUGAUUUAGUUUAUUUGAGGUUCGACGGCUUUCUCGGUAAGGAAUUGUGACGAGGAUCGAGUGACUAUCGACUUUUUCAGAAGCAGAAGGAUAAAGAUUUCAGAAUGCGUGUCGCUGAGUUAUUAGUUUUAAUUAGCGUCAGAACUAGCGCUCGGAUUUCAGGUAUGGUCUUUCUUGGGGAACCUUUUUUUAAAUUGAUAAUUAGAUUGUUAUUGAAAUUGGUGAAUUGUUUGUCAUUGAGUGAUUAACUCUUGGAUGUUACUGCUUUCUAUAAAAGCAUGUGUAAUCGUUGAGUUAUAUGAUUGUUAUUAUCGCUUUUCUUAAAAAGUAUGUGUUGGAUGAUAUAAUAUGAGUAUUGUUAUUCGUUGCAUACAUAAUGCAUUUUGAAGAAUUAUGAGAUUAGUGAGAUUGGUGAUUAUGGAGAGGUGAGAACGAGAUCAAAAUAUACAUUUUGUACAGUUGAGUUUCCUUAUGGGUUGUCCAUAAAUCUAUGUCAUCCCACUUGCGCAAAUGAGUGGGCAAAGUAUACUCCUUCGAUGGCGGACAUCAAUAAAACGAUCUUUCGGGUUUCGGUUUUGGAGAGUAUGAGUAUAACAAGAUGACUAACAAAAGAGGUACAGGUGAUGAGAUAUUACUGAUUGUUAGAUCAUAUAUUCGAGACAUCUGAGUCACCCAUGGUUGGUAAAAUACACUGUAUGAGACGUGUAACUGAGGAAGACAUUCAUUAGCAUAUAUGCAUCUAAUUAUCGUUAUAUAUUUAAAGUAUUGUUUGAUACUUGAUAACUUGAUUGUGUGACGACAUAGUUAAAUGUAACUAAAGAGGUUUGGCCCUACUAAGCGUGAGCUCAUCCCUAUAUACUCUUAUUCAGGUUCAUACAAGGACACAUAUUUGUAGAAGACUAACUGUGACGUUUAGUUGACGUGAACGAGAGUCGAGAAGGACUACCGAAGUUUCUAGUGAGCUAAACAACAAGACUAGUUUUACCUUUAUAGUGAGCUAGACUGCAAGACUUGUUUUGUCUUUAUAAUCGGUUUUGUUUUUUGUAAUCGUUUUAUUUUCGACUAUUUCGAGAAAAAUAUUUAAAAUUAUUUUAUUUUCUUUUAUUUUUCCCGCUCACGCCUCGGAUUCGGUGUUAAGUGUUUGGAAACCACCGACACCGGGUCAGGGGUGUGACAAUUUUAGUCCUUGGUUUGAUGCCUAAGCUACUUCGCUCCUCCAAACUGGGCCGGUGUUGGAUCAAACAAACAGAAACUUGAAAGAAGGAGUCCGAUACAAGUCAUACAACUACGUUGGUCGGAGCGGAUUUUACGCAUCAAGGUGCCCUUGCACCAUUAAUCUGUAAGUUUUUAAAUCUUCGUAUGCAAAGAUUUAAUGAAGACUAGAGACCUUAAAUUCUUUUCUUUCAUUUUUAUUUUUGACCUGAUCAAAUUAAACGCCAAUAAUUAGAGUACCUCUUAUUCAAUCUCAUGUCCUCAUCUCUUGUGUUGAAAACACUUUUGAUUAUUUUUUUGAGUUUUAAUUUUGUUAAUGGUAUUAAAAUACAUGCAUGAUAAUGCGACAUAGAUGAUCGGAUCAAAACAUUGCGUAUUAAUUGCUCGAUUCACUUGUAGAAGAAUUUUCGAGCUUCGGGCCAAUAUUCCAUUUUUCUUUUUAAUAAAAAAUUCUAGCAGCUAGACAGCUAGUUAACCAAUUGUGAAGCUACACAACUGGGACUUGCAGCGGAAAACAACUACCACGCGUUGCAUGGAGAGGUUAGGUCCUGCAUGCAACUCCGCCGCCCGUAAAUCUCCUACUGACAGCUCUACCCCUCGAUUUGCAGAUACUGAUGUAAAACCCGAGGACAAAACGGUAAUCGUUGAUACUCCGAGCCAGACAUAAAACUAUCCAAGAACAAAGAGGAGACACCACAGGAAAAAUGACCGGACCGCCUCUACCUCGACCCUUUCUAACGUGCUUGGUUGGUGUAGCAGUCUUAACCUGCGCACUAACCUUCUGUGUUGCCCUAGAUGUCACCCCCCAAGACCCAAUCAUCCACCAAGUCACAGACCAUGAUACUAACAAGCUCCUUGGAACCGAGAAAGAGUUCAAGAGUUUCAUGGAGAAGUAUGAGAAGAAGUACCCUACUAGGAAGGAGUACAUGCACCGGCUAGUUGUUUUUUCCAAGAACAUGAUCAGAUCCGCCGAGCACCAAGCUCUGGAUCCGACGGCGGUUCACGGCGUCACGCCGUUCUCGGAUCUGGAGGAGGAGGAGUUCGAGAGGAUGUACACCAUUCCUCGAAAAGUUAAAGUAAUCUUUUUUAGAAAUCGAAUGGAUUCGGUCUUAUACAUACGCAAGGAAGGUAAUAAAAAAAAAGAAAGAUGAGUUCUUUUAUCACUUAGGAGCUGUGCGAGAUAAAAGUCUCAUGCACGGUUUUGAAUGAGAGAAAGAAGUGAGGAAUCCUUUUUUCGACACUGACUCUCCCACUCCAGUUGUUGCUUUUUUUUUCUUUUUUUUCUGUUACUUCAAAAGUCGUUGCUUCAGUUUCAGCCACUCGAAUUUUCGAUGUUCUUUUUUAUUUCUCAUCAAACGAAUGGCAUUUUCUUCCUAUUACUCAAACAAGCAUGAAACGUAUGCUUGCGUAUUCGUCCAUAGGUCAAAUUGGAUAUGUAAUUAUUGGAAUAAUUGUUGGAGACUCAAAUGGUGGAUAUGUAAGCAUGAUAACUUAUAUGUUGUUCUAUAUCUCUAUGAAUCUAGGAACUUUUGUUUGCAUUAUAUCAUUUGGUUAGAGGUGCGCCCGGCUUAACCAACGGCGGAGGCGGUACGGGGAGCACGGUUGAGCUUCUGGAUGUUAGCGGGUUGCCUGAGAGUUUUGAUUGGAGAGAGAAAAAGGAGCUGUUACUGAGGUCAAGAUGCAGGUAGUUUCUAAUUUUCGUUUUAUUUCUGAUUUUUUAGGUUGGACACACAAUAUAUGUGAUUAACAGUUUCGGCCGUACUUAAAUCCUAGCUUUUUGCAAAUCAAGUUAUGGCACAUACGAUAUAGAAGUCUCGUAGCUGGUUGUAAAUUACUAAAUUGUGUAAUCUGAAGUCGAUCAGCUGAUCAGGUGCUGCUGGUUCUUUUGUUUAAUUGAUUGUAUAACUAGCUUGACUUUGAGAGUUUGAAGUUUUGUACAGAAAGAUUUGUCUAAUAGAGCUAGGGUGUUUGUGGAACAUGGAAUUAUUCUUCAGGCAAGGAGUUGUAUUGUGAUACUUAAAGCCUCUAAAUCUCUUGUUAUGGAUGCAGGGUGGCUGUGGGUCGUGCUGGACCUUUAGCACAACGGGAGCUAUUGAAGGAGCCAAUUUCAUUGCCACUGGGAAGCUUGUUAGUCUCAGUGAACAGCAGCUUGUUGACUGUGAUCACCAGGUAAUUAAGCCUAGCCUCUCUGGAAUAUAUUGAAGUACUCAUUUAACUUUAGGGCGAUAAAAAUUUAAUUGAUUGAGCAUAUAUAUAAUAUUUGGCAUGCCUACUUAAUUAGUUUCGUUUAAUGUUUGUGGCAACUAUAAUCAAGUGUGAUGCAAAAGAGAAAGAUGCAUGUGAUCGUGGUUGUGGUGGCGGACUUAUGACAAAUGCCUACAAGUAUCUAAUGGAAGCAGGAGGGUUGCAAGACGAGGUUUCAUACCCUUAUACGGGGAAAAAGGGCGAAUGCAAAUUUAAUCCUGAAAAAGUAGCCGUGAGAGUAACCAAUUUCACCACUAUUCCCCUUGAUGAGAAUCAGAUUGCAGCGAACUUGGUCCACAAUGGUCCUCUUGCCAGUGAGUACUAAACCUGAUAAUAUGCUUAAAAAUAGCUAGGCUUUUUAUGUAUCUAUGUGUGCGUACAUAGAACUGCCUUAAGUGUCUUAUUUUCUGAAUAUGAUGUGCACUGUUUAGCAUAUUUAGAUCUGAGUGUAGAUACACCCCACUGAUACAGAAUCUUAAUUGAUGUAUGUAUGCGCAGUUGGCUUGAAUGCUAUGUUCAUGCAAACCUACAUUGGCGGUGUGUCAUGCCCUCUUGUUUGUUUCAAGAAAUGGGUGAACCACGGUGGUUCACUUGUUGGAUAUGGUGAGAGUGGCUUCUCGAUUCUCAGGCUCAGCAACAAGCCGUAUUGGAUCAUCAAGAAUUCAUGGAGCGCAAAAUGGGGAGAACAUGGUUAUUACCGACUUUGCCGAGGCCAUGGCAUGUGUGGGAUGAAUACCAUGGUGUCUGCAGUUGUGACCAGUACGCGGGCAUCCUAGCUGCAUCUCCCGAGAUUAGCUAGUAUAUAAUUAUACACUAUAAUAUUAUAUGCACCUCUCCCUUGUUUUUUCUUAAUCCGAAUUUGAUGUUCCUAUAAUCAUAUUUCAACAAUAUUAUUGUUAAUAUGCCGAAGUGGAAAGUCUUGUUUACGUCAAAACCAAUUCGAACUAUAUUUUGUUAGCUUUAAAUGCUAGAUUGUCAGACUUCAAAUUUAAGUCGGAAAAAUUUUACAAUAUGUUAAUGCAUGUUAUGCAUCAAUUUUAUCCUAAAAUUGUAAAAUGAGUCUCUAAAGUAGUAAUAUUAGUCCUUGAAGUUGUAAUAUAUACGAGUAGUUGUAAAUUUUAAAGUUACAACAUUAGUUAUCAUGUGUCCUUAAAGUAAAUUUUACAGUUACAACAUUAGUCAUUGUGUCUUUAAAGUGAUAAAAUGCGUGCUUAAAGUGGUAAUUGAAUCCUCAAAGUGAUUGAAAAAGUUUUUAUAUCUUUGAGGAUUUGUAUUACAACUUUGAGGAUUUGUAUUACAACUUUGAGGACUCAGUUACCUCUUUAAGGACACAUAAGGAUUAAUAUUGUAACUAAUUUUUUUACAACUUUAAAGACUUAUAUUACAACUUUAAGGACUAGCUAAUAUUACUACCGUAAGACUCGAUCAUUUUAUAACUUAAGAGCAAAGUUGAUACAUCACAUGCAUUUUUUUUUUAUUGGUUAAUGAUCGAGGAUAGGCGAAUAAUCACCUAUCACUCUAUGUUAUUAAUAAAAGAAAAAAGAAACAAAGGAGGGGGAUCAAAACCAAAACAUCCUAAAACAAAUGACAGACUAGCUGAAACGAAAUUGAGGCAUACCUCUAACAUCGUUAUUAUAAGACAAUAAUAUGAAAGGUGGAGGCUCAUCCCACCAUAUCAAUUCAGAGCAUGACGUACCUUGAUUUGCCAGAGCAUCAGCUAUCUUAUUCCCUUCACGAAAAAUAUGAGUAGCCUUGAAAUUCAUUUUAGAGAUUCGGUAUAAGCAAUUCAACCAACGAACUCGAAGAGGCCAAGGAACAAGAGAAGGUCUGCGAAUAUAAUCAAGUACCAAAGAUGAGUCAACUUCCAACCAAAUAUGCUUCCAAUCACGAACCCAAGCAAGCUCAAUAGCUUUAAUAACAGCCAUUAUCUCCGUUGAAAUUGAACUAGGAAUUUCAAGAUUAGAGGCAAAAAGCACCUAGAAAGUGGCCCUUGUAAUCUCUAAAAAUAGCACCAUAACCACCCACUCCCUCUUCAUGCUUCCAAGAGCCAUCAGAAUUUAUCUUCACCCACCCAAGAGAAGGAGGAAUCCAAUUAACUUCAACCACUCUAGGAGUGGCACGAGGUCGACAUGGGGCUCCAAAACAUUUCAAAAUUCGUAGCUCCUGGACACUGUUAUGCAUAUGACCCGUUGUAAGAUGACUAGUGGCUCUUAUAUGACUUGAUAUUAGCUUGCAAACAACUUCAACUGAAAAGCGACAACCAUCAAAUCUGGUUUUAUUUCUCACAUGCCAAACAAACCACAAAAUGGAGGUAAAGCAAAUAAGCCAUAAUUCCAUUAAUUGAGGACUUCUUCCAUUCUGCAAACCCAACCCAUAAAGCUCCAAAAUAGAAGAAGGAAUCAUACCUAACUCAAAAAUAGAGCCAAAGUGACAGAAGAGACGCCAACGGCACCAACACCCAAAGCCAAAGGUAAAGUGUUCGUCAAAGGACUCCACAAUUCCAAGAAUGCUUUCCAUGUGCUCGUGCAAUAAUGGUAAGGAUAUCGAGAGACGCCAACGGCACCAAAUAUUCCAGCUUGAUUCAAUACGCCUUCAAAAUUGGCUAAUAUGAAUUCUGUCCACUCCAUUACGCCUAUCUCAAGUGUAGCACAACCCCGGAAACAAAGGCUCGAAGACCAAUCUUGUUUGGUGUUUAGCAUCCUGUGAAGUAUCGGGUAAAAAUUCUCUUCGAAAGUGAAAAGACCUCCAUCAUGUCUGUUAUCAACCUUCUCCAAAGUAUGCCCCUUAAAUACAUGGGAAAAGUUGUGGGUUGUUCUUAUCACUUGAUCCUCCAAAUCUUGGCGAAAUGUAAGAAAGCCUGAGUUCAUUUCAACUUCUGUCACCAAGGUAAUGAUGUCUUUAGGAGGGACAUCAACAUGAAUGGAGCUUAAAGGCUGUGAUCUCACGUACUCUAUGCCCUUUCCAACAACCUGCCUGUGUUUGUCCAAAGCUGCCUCGCGGGAAAUUCGACCAUAUGCAUCCAUUACCUGAGAUUAUAGCACGCAGAGAUGUUAAAAGCAAGCAAUAGCAAGUCAAGCUUUGCGCGAGAAAAGCAAGUUCCACGUACAAAGCUUGAGGGGGCACUGUUGAUACCAAAAAAAAAGGAUUACAGAAAAGGAAAAAAAUAAAUAAAAUAAAUAAAUGGAAGAGUAUUUAUUCAUGUCAUACUCUUCCGUUGGUUUUGAUUACACGCACAAAGCUUUUGAGUUCAAUUACAACUCUUGCAAGCAGGUGCUUGGAUAAGAACAAAUCAGUACGAGCACCAGAGUUUGAUUGUAACUCAAUUAUCCUAACCAAGCACUCUAUAUAAAGAGGCCAAUACCUUCAAAAAAAAAAAAAAAANAANNNNNNNNNNNNNNNNNNNNAACACCAACGGGAGGAGGCAGGCGGGCAACAAGGAGGAUCACAAAGGAGCGGUUCAUUCUUUACAAGGUUCGGAUGGAGAGUUCUCUUUCUCUUUGCGCAGCUCUCUUUAUGUUCUGUUGAUGGAGGCAUCACUGCCUUCAUAUUCCUCGCAGAUGGCCUCUGGUGUUCUUGGUUACUAUUGUUCCUGGUCACCCAAAUCCCUUGCGGAUCGAUCUGGUUAUUAUAGUUACUGUGUUCUGUUGGUUACUUGGUUACUACUGUGUUCUCUUGGUUACUUGGUUACUCAAAUCCCUUGUGGAUCGUUCCUGGUUACUCGUUACUUGGUUACACAAAUCCCUUGCGGAUCGUUCCUGGUUACUUGUUACCCUAAACAUUGGUUACUGGAUACUAUGGUUACUGGAGACUAAUGGCUACUAUGGCAAUGGUUCUAUGUUACAAUGGUUAUAUGACACUAUGGUUACUAUGAUUCUGGUUCUAUGGCUACUGUAGCACUAUGGUUACAAUAUGGUUCUGGUUCUUUGGGUACUUUGACACUGGUUACUAUAACAGAUCGGUUGCCCUUUGAUCCUACAAAACCAAACACAAAACCAAUACUCAAAAUUCCACCACAAAAGGCCAUUGUUGUCCCUGUUCCCUGUUAACCACCACAGCCAAAUACCUUUCCAAAUUCCAUGUUUCAAGCACCAACUCAAAUACUGUGCAAUGAAACUAAAAGAGACAAUAACAGAGGCUUACCCUCAAACUAUGACAAUCGAUCUAUUCCGAUACUACAACUACUACCUGUGUUUCAUACCUUCAUGCUGUAGCAGGAAUGGUGAUGAUAUUGCAAAAAGAGAACAGCAAGUUCCUGUCAAGUUAACCUCACAAAAACAUCCGAGCAAAGAGAGUCAUUGAUUCUUUGGCUCUGUCCCUUUAAAAAAAACAAAGGGGGCUCGGUGAGUUUUCUCAUGAUUCUUCUCCAAUAUCACAAGAUGACAAGAAUCAAGCUUGGCGGUGACCCUCCCAAACAGAGAAGGCUUACUCAAACAUAAAUAUGCAUUCACCACCAUGGAGUAAAACAAAAGAAGCAAACUUAAUUAAACAAGUUUUGUUUCUGGAAGUUCCAAGGCAGCGAGCCGAAUACACCCACAGUCAAAUAAAUUGGAGCUAAGAAGUUUAGAGUCUCAAAGCAAAAGACGUGUUCUUCCUCAAAUUAAAGCCUGCAAAUUGAAGCCUGCAGCAAAAUUAACCUACUCGAAGCUAAGCUCAUCCAUUCGACGCUAAGCUAAUCUACUCGAAGUUAAGGAAGCGAAGGAUAAUUAAUUUUGCCAUUGAAGAAUUGUAACAAAGCACCUAUCCAACACAAGGCAGUAACCAAAUUGAACGCUACCUGUGAAGAAACAAGCUUUUGACCAGUGGGAAAUCCUUCGAAAUUACUCUGAAGCAUAAUGGAGAUACUUUCGUCAUGAGGGUAUUUGAAUUGUAGGGAUGAAAGCAGGAACACAAUAGGGGUUAUCCUUACCCAAUUUCGCACAGUGAGAAAGAGCACAGCAAAUCUCAAGCCUCCCAGUGUUGAUAAAUUUCUUCUCGGCGACUUAGGAGCACUGCCAUCACCAAGUCGGUUGCUGCGCCAACCCCUCUCCAUUUGAUCAGUUUCGGCCUUCAAGUUCUUCUGGGUUACAAUAAACAAGGCAGCAGAAGAUCAAAAGAAAGAAAAGAAAUGAAGAAUGGGGAGAGGGAAAGCUAACGGGCCUCCACAUUGACGGAUGCUACUCACAAGCAAGGCCCAUGUCAAAUUUGGGCCCAUCUGAAAAGUUCAACGAGGCUCAAUAUAUGGGUGUUCAAAUCAAAAUACCCAAACUUCGGUUUCGUUUAAAAAUUCUUCGGAACCCGAAUGAAGUUGCGUUUGGUACAAAACCAAGAAAUACUCAAAUACCCAAAUUUUUGAACUACAAUGGUUUGAUCCCUUCACAGGGUAUGUAGGCAGUCCAGAUUUAAAUCUGGAUAUAACCACAUUUAAAGCCAAAUCGUUGGUUCUUUCCAAGCCAAAUUCUAAAACACAUAACCAAACCUUUCGACAAGUCAUCUACUUCGUCGAAACCCCAAAAGCCAUAAAACUUGAACUACGAGUGACUUGAUCCCUUAUGGGGUACGUAGGCAGCCUGUAAAACAAAUCGGGUGCAGUCGCAAUUCCCCUCGAACACACAUUCCCCAUUUGUUACUUUGUAAUUAGAAUCAAAGGGUCUUCCCCCGAAAGCAAGGGUUGUAAUUAAGAAAUUUAUUUUAUUUCGAAUGGGUCGAACCAGACAUAAUUAAAACUCUAUUUUAAUCAAUGAGAUAGAGUGAAAUUGUGUUGGGUAUAUUUAUUUACAAUUUUUGCUCAACAUAGUUUUUGGCGACUUCACUGGGGACUCUCAACUGGUCAUCAGACAAAUAAAUGACGAGUAUGCAGUCAAAAAUGAGAACCUUAUAUCAUACUACCAAAGAGUUAAAUAUCUCCUGGGACAAUUUCGAGAGAUAUAUGUUGGCCACAUUCCAAGAUCAGAGAAUGAUAAAGCAGACGCAUUGGCUAACUUGGCAGCUUCUUUAGUACUUCCUGAAGAGAAAGACAUCCAAAUAACAGUUGGAGAACGUCGAUUGCAGUCCUACGUCACUUGAACGAAUGGAAGCUACCAAUGAAACAAAUGUAGUUUCUGUGUUCGAAACUGAGGAAGAAUCUGAUUGGCUCAAAUUGAUGCAGUGAACGAGCAAGAGAGGAAAGUAUGAUUCAAAGUCUCCGAGCAAACACCACAAAGCUCACAUCUAGAAACCCAAGGAAUACCUCGACGCUGAAGUAAAACAUCAGAAAUAACUCUACCUCUUAACACCUUCCAUGCUAGGAAAGACAUUCUUGGCAGAAUAUAUUUAGCCCAUAAUCUCUUACCCCAAAUUACUGGAUUAGAAGAAUGCCGCAUAAAAGUAUAGGCUUGUUUUGCGGUUAACUCAUCGGAGGCUGAAGAGGUCCAUAUAAGUUUGUCAUUAACUGAAGGAUCUUCUGACACAGGGACUUGAUUGAUCAUACCACAUAAGGCUGGGUAGUGCAACUGUAGUAAUGGAGGAAGAUUCCAUGAACCAUUGUCUAUAUAUUUUGACACCAAAUCCGAGUUAUCCUGCAUCAACACAUUAGAACCAAAGAACUCAUUUAUUGGCCUACCCAUAAACUUGUCGCGCCAAAAGUAAAUUCCAUUCCCAGAACCAAUGAACCAUUGAGAAUUAUCUUGAACAGUCUUCCAGAAUUGACGAACACCAGGCCAUAUAGAAGAAGGAGCAUAAGAUUUCCGUCUAGAGAAACGAUUGCGAAUAAAAGCACAACCCUCAGAUUGAGCUGUAUAGAUUUCCCAGCAACGUUUCAAUAAGAGAGAUCGAUUAAGCAGAACUAGUUGUUUGAGCCCCAAGCCACCUUCUGCAAUUGGGGAACAACAAGACUUCCAAGCCACAAGAGGGAUCCCUCUUUUAUCAAUUGAGCCAGACCACAGAAAGUUUCGGCACCAUACCUCAAUUUUUCGCACCACAGACACAGGCCAUUCAUAUACUUGAAAAAUGUAUACCAACAUGCUAAAAAUAACAGACUUGAUAAGCUGCAAACGUCCUGCCAUUGACAAAAAAGAACUCACCCAACUCGAUAACUUUAUCCUUAUUUUGUCAACAAUCUGAUGGAAAUAAGAAGCACGAGGUUUGCCAUGAAAAAUAAGGGCACCCAGAUACAUGAAUGGAGCAGACCCCAAGGGAAUACCCAAGAAGUUCGAAAUAGAAUGCCGCCUUGAAUGUAUACUAUUUCCAAUAAAAACCUGAGACUUCCCUUUGUUGAUAACUUGACCUGAAACUCUACCAUACUCAUCGAAGAACCGCAUAAUCCGCGAUAAAUUCCGCCUAUUGCCCCGAAAAAAAACAAUAACAUCAUCUGCAAAUAGGACAUGAGAUGGAGCAAGAGUAUUUCGUGGAGAAGAGAUACGCUGCAGUUGUCCCGAUGAAACAAGUAAAGAGAUCCCACGACUAAGGACUUCUUCUGCUAAGCAAAAGAGCAAGGGAGAAAGAGGGUCACCUUGACGCACACCCCUUUCACAAGAAAAAUACCCCACAGUCCUCCCAUUAAUCAACAGAGAAAGCUUGGCUGACAGAAGCAAGGCACGCACCCAUUGUACAAAGAUCGGAUCAAACCCAAAAGCCUGAAGAACAUGAAGAAGAAAAUCCCAUGACAGAGUAUCAAACGCCUUUGUAAUAUCAACCUUAAUUGCAAGGUUACCCCCCAUGACAUUUUGAGUUCAACAAAUUAAAGCACUCUGAAGUAGUUAAUAUACAGUCUGAUAUGUUCCUCCCUGCAACAAAAGCAUGCUGUUGAGGAGAAAUAAUACGAGAUGCCACUGAUGCCAACCGGAUAGCUAUGAUCUUUGGGAUAAUUUUAAACACAAAGUUGGUGAGGGCAAUAGGCGAAACUGCUUUAUGGAGUCGGCAUGAUCAACUUUGGGGAUUAAGAUGAUAAUACCUGAGUUAAAGGAAGGAGCCAAAUAACCAUGUUGAAAAAAUACUGAACAGCCUUAACAACAUCAGCACCAACAACAUCCCAGCAAGAGACGAAAAAAUGGCCAUUAAAUCCAUCUGGCCCCGGGGCACUAUCAGGAUCCAUUGAUUUGACAGCUGCCCAAAUUUCCUCUGAUAAUGGAACACUAGUAAGCAUCGUAUUUUCCUCAGGAGUUACCAUAGAGUGAAUCACUUUGGACACCAAGCCACUAUCUUCAUACUCUGCAUGUUUAGUAAAAAGAUUUUUGUAAUAAUCAACUAUAUGAUUUUGGAUAUAAUGAGGAUCCUGAAGCACCUGAUCUCCAUCACGAAGCAGAGUAAUAGAAGAACGAUUUCGGCGCACUUUACACAAAGCAUGAAAAUAAGAAGAAUUACGAUCACCUUCUGAUAACCAUCGCAACCUUGACUUCUCACGCCAAAGAAUUUCCUGAUGCAGAAUAGACUCAUUCAAAAUGGCCUGCAAUUCAGUCUCUUUUUCAAACUCUUCAUCUGAUCCCCCAGAAGCUGCAAUUUUAUUUUGAAUAUCAGCAAGGGCUGCAAGGUCAAACUCAACCCGACGGUGAACAUCCCCAAAGACCUCCCAGUUCCAAGUACGGAGAGAUUUCCUUAAGGUACGCAGCUUAUAUUGCAGGACAGAAUAAGGACAACCAAACGAAGUAGUAGAGGACCAACAUCCUUUGACAAAACUCAUAAAAUCCUUAUGCUCCAACCACAUUUUUCUAAACCGAAAGAGACUAAAACGAGACCCUGUAAACUUAGAAAAGGACAUUAGUAGUGGAUUAUGAUCAGAGCAAGUUCUGGGUAAGGUGCAACAGUCAAACUGAUCCCAUUCCUCCAUCCAAUUCAAAUUAGCAAGACUUCUAUCUAAUCUUAGCUCCACAUUACCACGAAAACCACGCCGUCUCACCCAUGUAAACUCUGCCUCUUUAGUAUCUACAUGAAUAAGUUCACAAACAUCUGACAUUGUCUGAAAUUCCUCACAUGAUCGCCGACAUAGAGGAGCACCUCCUUUCUUUUCAUGAGCACCAAGAACUGCGUUAAAAUCUCCAAAAACCAACCAUGGUCCUGUAACAAAACGACCUUUGAAAUCAGUAAUAUCUUCCCAUAACUUCCGGUGGCCAGAGAUUGUGGUACGAGCGUAGACAGCUGUAAGAAAACAGUUUACCGAAUCAAACAUAACUUGUAAAGAAACCUGCUGAUCCGAGGUAGACAACACCCGAAUCCAUGGAGCCAGAGAAGUCUUACAAAAAACCCAUAGAUUAGGUAAUGCAGAACCCCGGUCAUUUGCACCAACAAAUCGCAUGCCUAACGAACGCCAAAAGAAUAGAGGAAUUGAAGUCAAGGCAACGAAAGGCUCAGCUAUACAUAAAACUUCCAGGUUGUGAACCCGUACAAACUGUUUCAAAGCAUCUUGAGUGGGGACAUUAGCAAUGCCCCGUAUGUUCCAAUAAAGAACCCUCAUUUAGGAGUGUCUUUGGAGCGACGGAGAUAGGCUUCCCUAUUCUCCUUCGAAGCAGCCUUCCUCUUUUGAGACCUGGACAUAACAACAGUAAAACCAUCAUCAAUGUCAACUCGUUCUGUCUCCUCAUACCAGCUAUCAAUUCGAGUUACUGAAUUUGCAGCAACAGCAACCCCAAUGUCAGAAGACUGCUCAUGCAUACUACCACCGGCAGAGUCAUCUUCACUAUUCUGCUCGUUCUGAUCAAUUGCAUACCUAGUAUCAUCUUCUUGCUCAACCACAUUACCAUGGAUAGCUACUGGUACCAAAACCACAUUCACCCCCGGCUCAACCACUUCUUGGACAGGUGCCACCACUUCCACUAGCGGUUCCGGCACAACACUAGAUAUCACUAGUUGGCCGACCGGUGCUGGAGACUUCUGCACAAAGGAAGGACCCUCACCAAAAUCUUCCCUGGGGUUUGGAGUUGAAUCAAUAAUCAUGCUCUUACCUCGAUCUGCUGGAUUAGAUGGGUUUUUAGGCACAUACACUUUGGAGACUCGUUGCUGAUCACGGUUCCUGCGAGAUCGUCUACUACGCUUGCGCGAUCGACCUCUGCCUUUCUCAGUCUCAUUAUCCAUUGGAACCGGGUCAGAAGAUCUAUGCACAUACUUGCAAGCUGUGACAAGGUGCCCAACGUUGCCACAAUGAGCACAAAUAUGUGGAAGCUUCUCAUAAUCCACAGUCUGAACAAAAGACGAACCGCACUUACGCUUGACAACCAAUUCAUGCGGUGGAUCAACAGAGAGAUCAAUAUCAACCAAUAUUCUAGCAAAUAGGGUUCUAGGUUCCCAAAACUCAAGCCCUAGAUCCUAAAACCUCACCCACACCUGAGCAUUAGUAUUACGUUGAUUCGCUGGGGAGAAAUUUGGAACCCAUCGCAUGAAACGCAAGAAGCCAGGCUUGAGAGCAAUUGCACCCUUUACCCAGACUGUAGAGAGAUCCUCAUCCGUAGAGAAGCUAAACGUGAAAUAACCUUUUCCCAUGGGAAUAAUCUUCCAAGCCCCUAGACUUCCCCAAAGAAGAGAAAGCUUAUGAGACAGAUCUGAUGCAGAGUAGGGUUUAUCCCUCAAACCCAAUUGCACCCUUCCGAUUAACAUAUGUUUACAAUUAUCCAAACCCGAUUGAUAGCCCUCUUCUGAAAUAGUAACAGUUGUCUUGCCAUCUAAAAUCUCAGGAAUAGGUAGAUCAUCAAUUGGGAUGAAAGCUUGCGCCGCCGCCGCCGCAUAAGAUUUCGUCGGCUUCGCAGCCCCCUCGUCGAGAAAAGACCACGGGCAGAAGGGACGAUGCUGAACAGCCAUGACGUCGUGAAGCAAACGGAACUCGAAUUCAAGGAUUUACUGCAGGGAGGCUCCAGCACGGGGAAACCCUAGCAGAGCCAUCACCAACAUAAUGUAACUCGAUGCAUCACAUCCAUUAACACACUAUAGUCUUACCUUUUAAGUUGAGUCAAUGCAAGAGUUGCACUAUUUAGACCAUUUGGUUCUUCCGAAAAUAUGUAUUAUAUUUUUGAGAAUUUCAACGUCUGUAGUAGAGUCGACGAGGAUUUUAGAUUUGAUUUCGUCGAUGGCGUUGUCGAGCUAUUGCGUCAAUAGGAUGAUGAAGAGCAACCGGAAUCACCUCUCUUCUGACGCAAUUUGUUUUUCAAAGAUCUGGUCCGUUGCACUGGCCGGUCGAAGCCUUUUCAGUUCUCAAAACAGUUCAGAAACUACAGGUCUGAUAAUGAAAUGCAUAAAACAUUUAUAACUAUUGGUAAUUUAUAUCCUAGAGUUGUUCGAGUGUACUAACCACAGGAAAUAACGAUCUAGCUAGACUACCUUAUUUUCGUUAGGGCUGCUCUAAUUAGUCAACAUAUGCAGCUAGGUGAUGAUAAACUUACCCAAUUCGUUGUGAAAAUAAUUGAACCAUCAGUAGCCGUGAUAGUCCUUACGUACCUGCCCUUUCAUGAGCCUUAAUAUUUGGUGGCUUAUUAGCUACGCACUAAUGGUAGUUAAUUGUGCUUAUUUUGUGCAUGUGUGUUCUAAUACAAUUACCUACCUAGUUCUAAUUGUUCUAAUUCGUCGUGGAAUGUUUUCAGAGGAGAAAACUGAAUGGGGUAGCAUAGAGCCCUAUUACAAAAUAAUGUAUCUAUAACCUUCUCUAAUUUACAUAGUAAUUGACGCAAUUUGGCCGAACUGUUUCUGAACACACUGCUUCAGUUCUUUAUAAACCACGUACCAUAUGUAUGUAUUCAAGUGUCAGAUAUACUGAACCUACAUCGCCAAAAUGGAGAGAAUUCAGGUCAGUAUAAUUUCCAAACACACCGUCAAACCAUCAGCUUCCUCUUCACUACUUCGGGAUUGUCUAUGGUACAGCGCUGUAUGCCAUACAUCCUCUAACAGGACUUGUGUGCACGUGCCUUGCAGUGGGGGUGGGUGUUUUGUUUUGAAAUUUUUAGCCUUGAAAGCAGGCUGCAUAUCAUGCAGGGCUGCAGAUAGAAUUUUCCCUGAAUAUCACGCAUAUCAGCGCUGCAUGAUAUGUAUGAUUGUCUAUGGUACAACGCUGCAUAUCAUGCAGCGCUGCAUUAAAGCAGACUGCAUAUCAUGCAACGCUGCAGGAUAUGCAGCCUGCUUUCAAGGCUAAAAAUUUCAAAAUAAAACACCCCCACCUGCAAGGCACGUGCGACACAAGUCCUGUUAGAGGAUGUAUGGCAUACAACGCUGUACCAUAGACAAUCCCACUACCCUACUUCAGCCUUACAAGCUUACCCUGCUCGACCAGCUCACUCCUCCAUCGUAUGUCCCCAUGGUAUUCUUCUACCCCAUUACUGGCCCUGCAGUCUUCAAUCUUCAAACCCUAGCUGACUUAAGACAUGCCCUUUCCGAGACUCUCACUUUGUACUAUCCACUCUCUGGAAGGGUCAAAAACAACCUAUACAUCGAUGAUUUUGAAGCCGGUAUCCCAUACCUUGAGGCCCGAGUGAAAUGUGACAUGACUCAUUUUCUAAGGCUUCCAAAAAUCGAGUGCCUAAAUGAGUUUGUUCCAAUAAAACCAUAUAGUAUGGAAGCAAUAUCUGAUGAGCUUUACCCCUUGCUUGGAGUUCAAGUCAACAUUUUCGAUUCUGGGAUAGCAAUAGGUGUCUCCGUCUGUCACAAGCUCAUCGAUGGCCGAACGUCAUACUGUUUUCUCAAGUCCUGGGGUGCUGUUUUUCGUGGGUGUCGUGAUGAAAUCAUACAUCCUAAUCUCUCUCAAGCAGCAUUGCUUUUCCCACCGAGAGAUGACCUGCCUGAAAAGUAUAUAGCUUUGAUGGAAGGGUGGUCGAUUGCCGUAAAGAAAGUUGCUACAAGGAGAUUUGUAUUUGGUGCGAAAGCCAUAUCUGCAAUUCAAGAUGAAGCGAAGAGCGAGUCCGUGCCCAAGCCAUCACGAGUUCAGGCCGUCUCUGGUUUUCUCUUGAAACAUCUUCUCUCUGCUUCUCGGGCAUCAUCAUCAGGUAAAUCAGUUUAUGUGUCUUCUUAAAAGUGCACCACAUGCAAUUGCGUGAUUGGCAAAGGAGGGCUAGGCGUGAUUAAUUAAGCUAGAGAAGACAAGGUUUUUCCAUUAAUUGUUAGUGAGGCUUGCUCAAAUGCGAGCGUACAAGAGUUUUCAGUAGCUUUAUUUCUGCUGCUUAGGUUAUACCGGAUUUGUUUUGUAAGUUAGAAAAAUACAACUUAUUGGAUAUUGUUAUAAGCAUCUAAUUAAUGAUAUGAAUGAAAAAGAAAAAAGAUCGUACACUUAACAUUUUUCUGCUAUUAUUUCAUACUUAUUUUAUAUUUUUGUAUUACAUAUACUGUACAUAGCUUAAAAAUGAGAAAAUAUAUGAACUUUUGCAGGUACUACUUCAACAAAACUUUCUAUAGCAGCUCAGGUAGUGAACUUAAGAUCACAGAUGAACAUGGAGACAACGUUGGGUAAUGCCAUUGGAAACCUGAUGUGGUGGGCUCCGGCCAUACUAGAGUUAAAUCAUAAAGCACGAGAGAGCAGCGAUCCUAAGCUGUGUGACUUGGUUAUCUUGCUCAAUGAAUCUGUCAAACAAUCUAACAGUGAUUACUUCGACACUUUCAAGGGUAAAGAGGGAUAUGGAAGAAUGUGUGAGCAUCUAGAUAUGGAGGGGACUGUAAGUUCUGUAGAACCAGCACCAGAGAUAUAUUCAUUCUCGAGCUGGACUAGAUUUUUCGACCAAAUUGAUUUUGGAUGCAUGGGGGAGGUCAUCUUGGAUUGGAGUUACCGGAAAACAAUCUGCAUAUUGGAAUUCCACAGUUUUAGUACCAACACAAUGUGAUACUGGAAUUGAAGCGUGGGUGAAUCUAGAUGAAGAGAAAAUGGCUAUGCUAGAACAAGAUCCCCAGUUUCUAGCAUUAGCAUCUCCAAAGACCCUAAUUUCAAGGUAUUGAUUAUGAAAGAUUAUGUGGCUCGUGCAAUGUUUCCAUUUGCAGUGAAUAAGGAUUAAAUUAGUUCCCCGGCCAAUUAAUAAGAAGCAAGGUAUGAUAGACUAUGGCUACGUAUGUUAGUAUGUUAUCCGAAUGUGCUUCGUUAUGCUUUUAACCAAUAUAGCUCUGUUUUGUAACAAUGCUCUAUUGAGCUUCUAACUAUAGAGUUAUUUUUCUUGAUUAGAAAAAGAAACUAUGCAAGUUUUGUUUUGUUAAGCUAUUCUGUUUCUAAAAGAAAGGCUAUUCUGUUUCUAAAACGGGAUGCAUGUAUUACCUAAAAAGAUGAUUCACCUAUAAUUAUUUUUCAAGUAAAUGAUUAUUUGAUAGCAAUCACGCCGUGUAUUUCUAUAGCUAAAAUUGUAAUUUAGAUCAGUGACAACAUGAUUAAAAGUUACAUAUUCUGAUACAUUUGUUAUUUAACGACAAGUGUGGCCAUAAUGCCUCACCUAGUCACCUAAUGCGAAGACCUCUACGAGAGACUAAUGUCGUCUGAUCUUCUUUUCUUAAUCAAAAGAAACGAAAAUGGCCACAAUGCCUCACUAUUCAUAGAACCAUACAAUAAUUUGGAACAUAUGCAUGGAUGCAAAGAAAAAUAACACAAGAACCAUCAUAAUUUCACAUUAUAUGAGAAACUUAGCCAAAUCCGAAUCACAUCCAUGUUGGCCAAGAGUGACUAAAGAAGACCACCCAGAAAGCUAGAAAACCAUAAAAUCCAGAAAACUUGAAUAAGCUAGGGAAAAAACAAAAAUGUGACAUUCCAUUUCUUCUUGCGGUUUUGUUAGGCCAAAUCAAAAUCUCAAUGACCCUGCAAUCAUUUACACACACUCUUUCUCAAUCUCUGCAAAACUGACUGCUUCCCCUGAAAACUUGCGCAAUAGGGUACCUAGCUCUCUGGCCUUUUCUUUCUAAUGCACAAUUUAUGGCUUUUGGUAAUGAUGAUUUUAUGCUUGUGGAUCUCAGAUGGGUUUGUUUUGUUUUGGGAUUUUUAUAAAUGAAUGCAUUGAAAAUGUUGAAAGCUUAUGCCUUUGUUCCUUGGUUCAGUGUUCUGGUUUUGUGUACGUACGAGAGUUGAAAUGUGAUCUCUAGUAUCGGUAAAGAGAAAUGUUCUAACCAUGCUAGUGUUAGUAAUUUAUCUUCUAAAGUUGUUUGAGUACUUUACUCUCUUACUUUACUAACUAAGCAUAGGAAAUAACGACCUAAACUACCUGAUUUUCGUUAGUGCUUGUAAACACGAAAAUUCCUGUAACGAAUAACAGAAAGACAUGUGUACAAAAUAAUAUAUUUGUAUUGAUUGAAUUUGCGGGUUACAAUCUCUAUGGGUAUUCUUUUAACAAGAAUGUCCUCUGAUUCGAUCUCCGAUGUUGAUUUGAUCCAAGGGUGACAAGCACUUGAUCUUGAAUUGAACUGUUGUAGUUUGAACUUCUUAUUGUGUUGACGAUUUGUAGAAGGAAGUUGACCAAGGGCCAUAGAGGCUUGAUCUUGGUCGAAUAUGGGCCGCGAGAGGUGUCACGUGGUGAACGUUCUUCGACUUGAUAGCGGAUGAAUCGGCACGUGUGUUUGGUACUUGUUGAUUCUCCACGAGGUUGUUGAAGAACUUGGUAGAAGUUUUGAUUUGUUGAAAGACUUGAAGACGAGGGUUGAUCAAGGGCCGUAGAGGCUUGACGUUGAUCGAGUUUGGGCCGAGCAGUUCCACAUGGUGGUUGCUCUUCGUCUUGUAGUUGGUGAAGAUGUCAGCUAUUUGGCAACUUGGGACUCUUCGGGAUUUGACAACCUAUAGGCUUGAGGUUGAUGAAGAAUCAACUAUUUGGCAGCUUGAUGAUUCUUCAAGGGUUUUGGGAGAAUUCUAAACUCUCGGGAGUAAUUUUUCUCUCUUGUCUGAAAGUCGUCCUCUUGAUAUGAGAGGGGGUAUUUAUAGUGUUAAUGCUCCUCCGUAAAUGGAAUGCAUUGAAGUCACAGCUUUAAUUAUAUUUCCUUAAUGAUAUAAUUAAAUCAAUCACUUUUGAUUGAUUGAUUCAAUUAUUCAAUUUCCCAUAAUUAAAUCAAUCAGUCUUAAUUGAUCGAUUUAGUUAUGAUCGAUAAGGUAUUUCACUAAUUUGAUUAAAUUCCGACUUCCUUUUCGAUAAUUGAUUUGAUUUGAUUGAUGUUUGAUUAUCGAUUGACAUUUAAUAUUUUAUUUUAGUUGGGAUUGAUGAUUUUGUUGUCGACCGACCAUUCACACGCCGCCACGUGUUAUUUUCGAAGACUUUUCAACUUUGCUGACUCACGAGCCACGUAUGCACGAGACUUUUCAACGUCUCUAAUUUACAUAGUAAUUGACGCAAUUUGGCCGAACUGUUUCUAAACACACUAAGCUUCAGUUCUAUAUAUACCGCGUACCACAUGUUUCAUCAAGUGUCAGAUAAUACAGAACCUACUUCGCCAAAAUGGAGAAAAUUGAGGUCAGUAUAAUUUCCAAACACACCAUCAAACCAUCAACUUCCUCUUCACCACUUCAGCCUUACAAGCUUACCCUGCUCGACCAGCUCACUCCUCCAUCGUAUGUCCCCAUGGUAUUCUUCUACCCCAUUACUGGCCCUGCAGUCUUCAAUCUUCAAACCCUAGCUGACUUAAGACAUGCCCUUUCCGAGACUCUCACUUUGUACUAUCCACUCUCUGGAAGGGUCAAAAACAACCUAUACAUCGAUGAUUUUGAAGAGGGUGUCCCAUACCUUGAGGCUCGAGUGAACUGUGACAUGAAUGAUUUUCUAAGGCUUCCGAAAAUCGAGUGCCUAAAUGAGUUUGUUCCAAUAAAACCAUUUAGUAUGGAAGCAAUAUCUGAUGAGCGUUACCCUUUGCUCGGAGUUCAAGUUAACAUUUUCAACUCCGGAAUAGCAAUCGGGGUCUCCGUCUCUCACAAGCUCAUCGAUGGAAGAACUUCAGACUGUUUUCUCAAGUCGUGGUGUGCUGUUUUUCGUGGUUCUCGUGACAAAAUCAUACAUCCUAAUCUCUCUCAAGCAGCAUUGCUUUUCCCACCAAGAGAUGACUUGCCUGAAAAGUAUGCCCGUCAGAUGGAAGGGUUAUGGUUUGUCGGAAAAAAAGUUGCUACAAGGAGAUUUGUAUUUGGUGCGAAAGCCAUAUCUGUAAUUCAAGAUGAAGCAAAGAGCGAGUCCGUGCCCAAGCCAUCACGAGUUCAGGCUGUCACUAGUUUUCUCUGGAAACAUCUAAUCGCUACUUCUCGAGCACUAACAUCAGGUAUGUAAAAUCAGUUUAGCAACAAGCCAAAUACUAAAGCAACUAAAUAAAAACCUAUUGUAUUUGGGGUAGUCCCUUAUUAGCUGUUGUCCUAAACUUCUAACGAUAUGAACUUUUUUCUCAAAAGAAAAAAAUAGUACACUUAACAUUUUCUGUUAUAAUUUCAUACUUAUUUAUAUAUUUUUAUUACAUACAUAGCUCAAAGAAUGAGAAAAUAUAUGAACCUGCAGGUACUACUUCAACAAGACUUUCUAUAGCAACCCAGGUAGUGAACAUAAGAUCACGGAGGAACAUGGAGACAGUGUGGGAUAAUGCCAUUGGAAACUUGAUAUGGUUCGCUCCGGCCAUACUAGAGCUAAGUCAUACAACACUAGAGAUCAGUGAUCUUAAGCUGUGUGACUUGGUUAACUUGCUCAAUGGAUCUGUCAAACAAUGUAACGGUGAUUACUUUGAGACUUUCAUGGGUAAAGAGGGAUAUGGAAGCAUGUGCGAGUAUCUAGAUUUUCAGAGGACUAUGAGUUCUAUGGAACCAGCACCAGAGAUUUAUUUAUUCACGAGCUGGACUAAUUUUUUCAACCAACUUGAUUUUGGAUGGGGGAGGACAUCAUGGAUUGGAGUUGCAGGAAAAAUUGAAUCUGCAUUUUGCAAUCUCAUAACAUUAGUUCCAACACCAUGCGAUACUGGAAUUGAAGCGUGGGUGAAUCUAGAAGAAGAAAAAAUGGCUAUGCUAGAACAAGAUCCCCAGUUUCUAGCACUAGCAUCUCCAAAGACGCUAAUUUCAAGAUAUUGAUUAAGGAAGAUUAUGCGGCUCGUGCAAUGUUUCCAUUUUGUUGUGAUUAAGGCUUAAAUUAGUUCACCAGCCAAUCAAUAAGAUGCAAGUAUGAUAGACUCGGUCUACGUAUGUUAUCCGAAUGUGUUUCCACAUGCUUGUAACCAAUAUAGCUCUUGUUUGUAACAAUGCUCUAUUAAGCUCUUCUAUCCAUAAAGUUAUUUCUCUAUUAAAAAGAAAACUAUACAAGUUUUGUUAAGUUUUUAAGGUAAGAUGCAUGUAGUACCCAAAAAGAUGGUUGACCUGUCAUUAUUUUCAAGUACAUGAUUAUCCGAUACAAUUACAUCAAAUAUUUCUAUAGCUAAAAAGUAUGUAAUUUUGAUCCGUGACAACAUGAUUAAAAAGUUAUAUAUUAUGAUGCAUUUAUCCUCUAACGACAAGCAUGGUCAUAAUGUCUCACCUCAUCACCUCACCAAGCGCGGAUCCAGUUCACAAGUGGGUAAGGCUCAAGCCCAACCAAGAAAAUUGGGGGAAAAAAAAACCUAAGUAUAGAUAUAUAUUUUUUUGGGUGAUAUAUCAUAUAUGCCCAGCCAUCAAGUGACCAAGCCCAACCCACCUAACUCAACCCAUCCCACUAACUACCCAAGUCCACAAUCAUCACUCAUCACUCAUCCACCCAACCUCCUUCAUCGAAGGAGUCCUUUAACUAAUCAGCUUAAACACCAAGUCUAAAAGUCUUCCCUGCUCUUCCCCUCCGCCUCCACUCAGUCACUCACCUAUGACCUAUCCCGGCUAUCCGGCUAUCCCUCUUCCCCUCCAGUCCUCCACGGCUCCACCAUAAUCUCCUUCUUCCCGGCCUCCUCCGGUCCUCCGAUUCCUCCCGGAUAGCGACGACUCGCCUCCGGCGGUCCGGACCUCCGCGGCUCCGCCUCCAGUCCUCCACUCACCUAUCCCUCUUCCAGCUGCUAGAAAGCUUGUUCGAGACUUGGUCCUCCACAGACAACCCAUUAGUCCAUUACCCAUCUUUCUUCACUCUCAGCCAGCAUGGUUGUACUAGAAAUUUUUUUUUGGCCUUCGGCCAAAGUUCAAGCCCACCCCAUCUUUAAAUCAUGGAUCCGCCACUGCACCUCACCAUAGUGUCCUAUCCUCUUAGGAGAAGGUAGGCACCUAAUGCAAAGGCCUUUAUGAGAGACUAAUAUCGUCUGAUCUUCUUUUCUUAAUCAAAAGAAAUGAAAAUGGCCACAAUGCCUCACUAUUCAUAGAGCCAUACAAUACUCUGGAACAUAUGCAUGGAGACAAAGAAAAAUAACACAAGAACCAUUAUAAUUUCACUUUAUACGGGAAACUUAGCUAAAUCCGAAUCAUGGGCGGAGCCAACCCAGGUGAAAUUUUGAAGCCCAAAAAAUUACCUGAAACAUCGUCGUUUGGGUGUAGGUUAUUUCUCCGUUUACUUCUUCUCAAUCUUAGUCAUAACUCACACCAUUGCGUCCGUAGCCCGUCGUUGUCGCUAGAGCGGUCGCCAUUUCCCAUAGCCCGCGCCGUCGCCCGUAGACCACAUCCCGAGUCAGUCAGUCCCCACUUGGCUACUUCCCCAGGUAUGGCUCAAUCGGAUUGCUUAUAUUCUGAUCGUGGACAUAGCAGGCUUCAAUUCAAAAGCCAUCAUAUUCAUAUGCUUCAAUGUUGCUUUACUUCGUCUAUAACUAGAGUUUCAGCUUUGCUUCGUCUUCAAUGUUGAUAUGUUGAUAUAAAAUAUUAACUUGAUUAGGAUUUGUUGAUAUAGAAUAUUACCUUGAUUAGGAUUUGUUGUUAUGUAAUAUGUAUUAGGAUAUUUAUUACUCAUAUUAGGAUUUGUUAUAUGAUCUUACAUCCUUACGAAUGAAUAUACAUCAACACAAUCGAAAUCUGCAUGGUCAUAUUAGCCUUAACUAGUUCAGUCCAAUUCAUAUUAGUCUUAAACUAGUUCAGUCUAAUUCCUCAUGGGUAUAUGCUGAACUUUAAGAUGUUGAUCUUCUAUAAUAACUGAGUUCGAUACCAGAAAUCUUUGAUGAUUGUCCACAUAUGUUAUCUUAUAAUCCUAUAUUAAUUUGUACUAAUCUCAUAGUCUUAAUUUGAAAGCUCCUUAUACGUCUUAACUUGGAUAUGGAUGUGGAUUUGAUCUUAUUAUAUGUAAUAUUAAAGUGAAGUUGUUGUAUUACACAGAAUGUUUGAUGAAUAAAUAACAAAUUGAUCGCGUCAAAAGGCUAGAUCAAAAAAUUUCUUGCACCAUCGAACAAAUUUUCUUGUGUAUACAAUUUCAUGGUUCCGCCACAUUGGCAACAAAGAGUGAUUGGAAAAGAAGAACACCCAGAAAGAUAAAAACCAUAAAACUUGUUUAAGCGAAAAAAACAAAAGUAUGCCAUUCAUUUCUUCUUGCGGUUUUGUUAGGCCAAAAAUCAAAAUCCCAUGAUACCCAAUCAGUUACACACUCUCCCUCUCAAUCUCUACAGAACUGACUGCUUCCCCUGAAAACUUGCGCAAUAAGGUACCCAUCUCUCUGGCCUUUUCUUUGUAAUGCAUAUAAGUUCCUGUAAAUUUUAAAGCUUUUGGAAUGAUGAUUUUAUGCUUGUGGAUCUCAAGAUGAGUUUGUUUGUUUUUUUCGGGAUUUUUAUAAUGAAUGCAUUGAAAAUGUUGAAAGCUUAUGCCUUUGUUCCUUGGUUCAGUGUUUUGGUUUUGUAUACGAGAGUUGAAAUGUGAUCUCUAGCUUGACUGUUGGUAUUGGUAAAGAGAAAUGUUCUAGAAAACCAUGCUAGUAUUAGUAAGUUAUCUUCUAAAGUUGUUCGAGUACUGUACUAAGCAUAGGAAAUAACGACCUAAGCUACCUUAUUUUCGUUAGUGCUAGCUGCUAUGAGAAACUUACCCAAUUCGUUGUUAAAAAUAGGGAAAAUACCCAAAUACUCAAAAAUUAGAAAGCUAAAACCCAUUCCAAUGAAAUUAUAAUCCUUUAGCUCAUUCCUAUGUUACACCGAUACUCCACCCCACGGACACUCCAACACUCCCGACACACCGAUAUCGAUACGAUACACCAAAAUGUGUGUCCGACACGCCACGUGGCGUGUCAAAAAAAGUUGACUUUUUAGACACGUUACGUCAGCCUGAGACACGCCAAGUCAGUGUGUAUUGAUUGAAAAAAAAAAAUACAGAACUAAAAGUCUAAAACCUAAUCGAAGAGGAAGCCCACUUUAAAGAAGCCGCAUAGAAGAGGAACGAUGUCACCGUUCACUAUCACUGCGAGAACGACGUCGUCUGUCCAUGUCAGUGUGAUUGUUCCUCCGAUGACACCACUCUGCGAGAACGACGAGAACAGCGUCGCCUUUCUCUGUUACAGCGACUCGUCCUCCGUCGGCCUAAACCCUCUCUUUAGUGUAAGGUUAAUCUUAAUCUCAGCUUUGACGUGUUUGGUGAUUGCAGUCUCAUUUGCAGUAACAGAAAAGCAUAUAAGAUUUUAAUCAUUUUAUGAUCAUUCUGAUACCACUUAUAGAUUUUUAAGGCAAUGUGCUAUUGAAGCAUCUGCACUGUGAUGUUAAGUGUCAUGAUAUUGCUCAAUUGCUGAUAGGGUAGGAUGGAGCUAGACAUUUGAGACUUUGCAAAAUUGAGUUUAUACCUACUAGUAUUAGAUCAUCAAUUAGUUGAGAGUUUGUAGGAGGUCAGGUUUUAUACUUGGUGAGAAACAUCGGCUCAUCUGUAUUUGUAAGGAAGAUUUAAUUGAAAGGAGUUGUGUAUGGAUUGCUUAUUUGUUUAUCUUUGCUCUGUUAAUUGUUAAUAUGUUAUGAUAUGCUGCUGUGUCUAUGCUGAUGUGCUUAUGCUACUGUGUGUCUAUGCUACUGUGUCUAUGCUAUUGUCUUAUGUUGUUUUGUUGGAUUAUUAUGAUUAGGAUGAGUUCAAGUGCGACAUCUACUGAACCUAGUGUUGAAUCAACUAAGCCUGAAAAAUUAGAUGCUCCUCUAUCAAGGAUAAAGGAUGAUGCCAAUGCAUGCGUGCCUUGCUCUUAUGUAUUUUGAAUAUCUCAGUUAUGGGGUUUUAGGCAGUUGGUGUUAUUAUAGGGUUAGGAAAGUCGGAUUUUCAUUCAGUUUGAUGAAUGUGUUGAAUUAGAUAAAACUAUUUAGUAAUCAUCCUUUAGAUUAAAUAUUGACUCUCUUUUAUGUUAUUUGUUACAGUUAUGCAAUUGCUUAAAUUUAGAGCAUUAUUUAAGCAAUGUGAUAAAUUUAUUCAUAUUUGAGCAUUUUUUUAUUAAUUAGAAAUAUACAAAUAAGUAAUUAUAUUUGCCGUGUCUAAGCCGUGUCGAAAAUGUAGUCUUUGAGUUUUGCCGUGUCGCCGUGUCAGUACGUAUCGUGUCGCCGUAUCCGUGUCCGUGUCCAUGUAACAUAGGCUCAUUCCAAUGAUUCUUAUGCAAAAGACAUUAUUANNNNNNNNNNNNNNNNNNNNCUCUCUCUCUCUCUCUCUCUCUCUCUCUCUCUCCUCUCUCUCUCUCUCUCUCUCUCUCUCUCUCUCUCUCUCUCUCUCUCUCGGUGUACGACGAUGCAAGGUUGAAGACGCAGCCUCCUACUGAGUCGACGAGACCGCGCUCGUGGUCGUGAUUCUCCUCAACAGCGACAUCGAUUUUGGCGGCACCUCUCGGAGAUGAUCCUCAUCUGCCAGAACCUCUGCAACAAUCUCUAGAGCCCUAACGAGCACAUCCGGGGCGUCACGCUCCAGUUCCUCUACUGGUUGAGCAAGUUGGAGAUUGUCCGGCCGUUGAUUUCAUCGAUUUUGGCCAAUCUAGUCAGAGAUUGAGGUCUGUGUUUAGUGCAAACAUGGAUAACGUUCUUCUUCUCCUUUUUUUAUCGGAGAUCGUGUUUUUGUUUUUGUUUUGGUCAGAGAGAUUGUGGUUUUUUCCCCUUUUUUUUUCAAUAUAAUGGUUAUUAAAUGAUAGUAUCUUGAUUAUUGGAGUAAUUAGUCUAUUAUUGGGAGGUAAGAAGUAUCUAGUGGAGGUCAAUAAACAUUUAUUGACCCCAAUAUUGCUUUUAUAAAUUUUUUUUGAGAUGUAGGGAUUUGCCUUAGAGGUAAAAACUUCCUUUUUAACUCGAUUACUAGGAAUCAUUAACUGAUUAUUGAGGUUAAGUAACUGAUUAUUGAGGGUCAGUAAGUGAUUAUUGGGGUUCAGUAACUGAUUAUUGGGGGUUAAUAACUGAUUAUUGGGGGUCAUUUUGAGAGUCAGUAACCGAGUUAUUGGUGAUCAGAAUCCAGCAACCGGAAAAAAUCUGAGUUACUGGGGGUCAGUAACUAAGUUACCGGUUAUCGGAAUCAGGCGACCGGAGAAAAUAUGAGUUACUAGGAGUCAAUAACGGCGACCGAAGAAAUUUCUGGCAACCGGGGACCGGAAUCCGGCGACCGGCAACCAGAGUCCGGCGGCGGGUGACCGGAGUCCGGUGAGAUUCCGGCCAAGUAUUCUCUCUCUUCCACUUUCUCUCUCUAUACAUGUUGAAGUGGUGAGAGUAAAAUUGUCUUAAAAAUAUAUAAAAAUUAUUUUUUAUUAUAACAUUAGUAAAGAUUUGUGCAUAAAAAAUGUUACCUUAUAUUGGAAUGAGCUCAUGAAAAAGAUUAACAUUAAAAUGGGGAAUAAGAGGUUUAAAUUAGUAUUAAAUUGACAUUUUCCCUUUAAAAUAAUAACAGAACCAUCAAUGCCGUGAUAGUCCCUUAAUAUUUGGUGGCUAAUUAGUAAUGCAUUCAUGGUAGUUGUGCUUAUUUUGUGCAUGUAUUCUAAUUCUAUCACUUGCAAAAUCGUUGUGGAAGGUUAAGAGGAGAAAACAGAAAAUGGGGCAGCAUGCAUCUCAUUUUAUUUCCGAUCAUAUUUUCAUAUCAUAGACGUUCACUAUUUAGAUAUACAUGAGUUGAUCAUCUCUACAAAAUUUCAACUAAUUUAGUUAUCAUUAAGGUAUCGAAAAUGUAUUAAAUCAAUGAACGAACCGAAUCUGUUCAUCCUGAACUGUACGUUCUAUUAGUUCUAAAUCACAGUUUUGAAUGUCUUAAUGAUUAUCAACUUGGCUGAAAAUUUAUAUAGAUGAUCUACUGAUAUAUAUACCUAAAAUAUGAACGGUUGAGAUGAGAAAAUAUGAUCGAAAGUGGGACAAAUAAUGAAAUCCGUACCUUAGAUAAGGUAAGGAGGUCCUUACCUGAUCAAGAUUGUGUGUGUGUGUCUAUAGAGUUUAGGGUUUAGAGUUUUAGGGUGUCAUGAAGAUAUCAUACAUCCUAAUCUCUCUGAAGCAGCAUUGCUUUUCCCACCGAGAGAUGACUUGCCUGAAAAGUAUGCCGGUCAGAUGGAAGGGUUAUGGUUUGCCGGAAAGAAUGUUGCUACAAGGAGAUUUGUAUUUGGUGCGAAAGCCAUAUCUUCAAUUCAAGAUGAAGCGAAGAGCGAGUCUGUGCCCAAGCCAUCACAAGUUCAGGC
rnacentral:lncRNA from 1 species